rnacentral:lncRNA from 1 species
GAUAGGGUACAUCUUUACAUAAACAACAAAAUGAUAGUUGAUAGCUAGCUAGCUUAGCUCUUUAGAACAGAACAGAUGGGAAAUCGAGAUCAAAGUGUACAAUUUUAAAUUAAACAGACUUUUUAAGCAACUGGUUUGAGGUUUGGGCCAUGUGGGAAUUCUAUAUAUAUAUGUAGAAUAUGUAUUCUUUAUUUGUUACGAUUCUUUAUUUUUUCUUUUUUUGAAACUUGUAACGAUUCUUUUAAAUCAAAGUCAAAUGUACAUGUGCAUGAUUCAUUAAAAUACACAUAUAGGGAGUCCUAUUGUUUUGUCGUCUUAGACAAACCACCAAAAUGUGAGCUUUUACCCUUUAUGUAUAUUUAUGUGAUUUAUUUUUUGAGCAAGUUAAAAGAAAUUAUAUGAACUCAAAACCAUAAUUAUAACUUCAGUAAAAAAAAAGUCAUAAUUGUAACUUAAACAGAAAAUAACAAUAUGUAAUUCACAUAAGAAUUUUAUAAAAUGCAUAAAAUAUCACUUGGCCCUAACUUUUUAAAAGUAAUAUGCGUAUGUAUAUAUAGACGUUUACACAAAUUGGAGGGUCCUUCCAAUUUGGAGGCCUUGGCCCGCAUGUACCCUCGGCCUCCCAUAUCCUUAUGGUAUCUUGGUAUCAUGUGUGUGAAAAAACCUGUUUUCUUUGUAGUAAAUUUGACUAUCGCUUAUAUAUAUCAAUAAAAUAAAGACAAUCAAAGACUUGGUCUCACAAACAACCUGAUUUGAGCCUCUUCCGUUCUCAAUCACACAGUUGUUUAUUGCAAAGGGGAAAUUUAUAAUAAUAAUUAGAUUAGUCAAAUGAUGUAUGUACUGCGCACUUUUGAUUUCUUUCCCCGUUUCACAUGAUGUGUAAGGAAGAAAAAUUAGGCUUUUAAGUACUCCAUGGACCUGCUGUUCAUUUAUUCAAACAUUAAUGAUGACAUGCAAGACGCUCUUUACACAUCUCAAAAAGGUAAUAGGGGUCACGUUUAACACUUCCCAUUUGCGAAAAAAUUGUGGAAAUUAUAGUGCUAUCUUUUCUGACACCAUAAAAAUUAUGUAUAUGCGGGUGUAAAUUUGAUAUACAUUGUUAUUUUUAAAAAAUACCUUUUUGGGUAUAGUCGUUGUCUAACAUGCAUCAGAGUAUUUUUGAUUGGUUUGGCUGCGUGUAUUUGUUUGUCUCUCUCCCUCUGUGAAUGUGUAAGCCUUUCCAUUUUUACACGUGAAUGAGUUUGUAAGCUUGAUAUAUACAUUGAUAACCGAGACUGAAAAUUUUGGGCCUUGUUGGAAUCUAACAAUGCGUCAGUCAUGUUUGCAAUCCUUAGAAUCAAAGUUUGAUUGUUUCUAAUAUUGCCUCGAAGAGCAAUUGACUUCUCGAAUUAGUAGGGGACAUCAGUACAACUCAACACGUUCACACCCACCAAUCCGCCGAGACACUAUUUUUUUUUUUCCUUCUUGAUGUCGUAUUUUUAUUUGCAAAUUGCUAGCUGAAAACCUUUUUUCUAGGGGAAAGAGAGACUACCCCCACACCCCGGAUUAGGGCAAACCCCAGACCUUUAGCAAGAAGGACCUAUGCAAGGGCCCGUAUGCCCUGUAGCCAUAUGUAUGAAUUUACAUAAGAAUUUUACAGAUUACCCACCAAACACACUAUUGCUGACAACUGAACUCGAAUACUGAUGGAGUGUCACAAUAUAAGGACCUUACCAAUUGAGCCAACCCGUGUUGGCUGCUAGCUGAGAACUUUGCAGUGCCUCUGCAAUAAUAUUUUCUUUGGCUAUUAGAAAAAAGGAAAAAUUAUAUCGUUCAAAGUUCAACGCCAAGUACUAGUUUGAGCGAUAUUUUUCUUUUAAUAAUUUUUUUUUUUUCACAAAAUGGAUAUUUUCAAAUUCUCAAAUUCCUUUGACUUUUGCAAUUCAUGUAGUUGGAGAAGAAGUCUUUUCUUAUUCAUCGGCCAGAUGUAUAAUUUCACAUAUAUGAUGAUCAAAUAAAACCCUUUAAAACUCAUAUUGAGUGGAGUAGACUAGCUCAAACUUUUGCAUUUAGCAAAGAUGAUUUUAUAUUACUCAUCCAAAUUUCAGAGAGAUUAAAAAACAGAGUUUUCUGUAUAUAUUUUGUGGCUCAGAUAUAUUUGCUCGACAUUGAUGUAAAAUAUAUGUGGUGAUCAACAAGUCUGCAGCCAUGGCAAAGCCAAGCUCUGUCUCUCUCUUUUUCCUUCUUCAGGUAGCUUUAGCAAUCUCGACUUGCGGCGGAAGCAAAUCUUGGCACUCAAAGCAGCAAGCUGCCUUCUUCAUAUUUGGAGACUCUUACUUAGACUCUGGCAACAACAAUUACAUCAACACCACAACUCUUGACCAGGCCAACUUCUGGCCUUAUGGAGAAACCUACUUCAAGUUUCCAACUGGAAGAUUCUCCGACGGACGUUUGAUGUCAGACUUUAUUGGUGAGAUUUGCAAAUCUUUUAUAAUGUGGUCCUUGGUUGUACAAGUCCACUUUUGGUUAGCUAAUCUAACAGAGAUUUUUGUUUUGUCUGCUUAUAGUUAAUUAAUCAUGAUCUUAUCUAAUAUUUUGUAUAUUAUUUUAUAUAAUUUGCAGCUGAGUAUGCUCACCUGCCAUUUGUUCCUCCCUUUCUUCAACCGGGCUUUCACCAAUAUUAUGAUGGGGUGAAUUUUGCAUCUUCUGGGGCUGGUGCUCUGGUUGAGACGUUUCAAGGGUCGGUAUGUAAGUUUUACAUUUGAGAGAGAAUGAUACUGCCAUGCUAUUUGGUAUGAAGUUGACAUUUCAUGAUGUUUCCCCUUUCUUUUGUCUUAAUUGUUAACUUUUGUAUUAACUUGACAAGAAGUAAGAAAAUCGAGAAAGUCGUAGGUACAUGCAUAGGUUGUUUCACCUCAUCAUACUGAUAUGAUACAAGAAACUAUUAACGAAAUGACACGUAAUCAUUGUUAAUGUGCUCUAUAUUCGUAUCAUUUACAUCGGUGUGAUCUCAAAAAAAUUUUGAAUUUAAAUAACGUAAAGGCCCCGUAACAAUAAUUACUCAUCAUCUUAUUAUUAGUUACAUGAGGUCAUAUUACAACCGUUGCAUCUAAGAAAUUCUCGAAGUACAAAAUGUUUAAAAUGUGCCCUUUCGUAUAUGAGAGUCGAGAAAAUAAAAAGUUUUAAGUAUUGUUGUAUCUACUUUAGACUCAGAAAGUGUAGCAAAAUAGUUAUGGAACUUUCAUAUUCUCCUAUUUCAGGUCAUUGAUCUUAAAACACAACUGAAGUAUUAUAAGAAGGUAGAGAAGUGGUUCAGACACAAGUUAGGCGAUGUUGAAGCCAAAGUGACACUUUCAAGAGCCGUCUACUUGUUUAGCAUUGGAACCAACGAUUACAUCAGCCCUUUCCUAACCAAUUCCCCCAUAUUGAAGUCCUACUCUAAAUCACAAUAUAUUGGAAUGGUCAUUGGCAACUUGACAAGCGUUAUCCAAGUAUGAAUUAUUUAGUAGUUUAUUUCUCAAGAAAUGUUCUAUUUUCAAAUAAUCUGAUAUGUUAUGUUGUUGGUCGAAACGACACAUUUCCACAUGAUGCUAUUUAAUCAGUGAUGCUAAUUGAUAGUGUGAUAACAUAACAUAUUUAGAGUGCACAUAUUUGACUCUUAUAUAUUAUGAUCGGGUGUGAAAUUCACAGGAAAUUUAUGCUGGUGGCGGUAGGAAAUUUGGGUUCAUCAACUUGCCGACCUUGGGUUGUCUUCCGGGCAUGAGAAUAAUCAAGCCAGAAAACAAAGGUAGCUGCUUAGAAGAAGUUUCAUCACUUGCCAAGUUACACAACCAAGCUCUCUCCAAACUUCUGAUUCAACUAGGAAACCAGUUGGAGGGUUUCAAAUAUUCACUCUACGACCUGAGCGGGAAUCUUAGGCAGAGAACCAGACAUCCCUCGGGAUAUGGUACGUACUCAAUCCACACCAAUCAUCAUAAAAAUUGUCUUAUCAAUCCAUUGAUUGGAUAAACAUAUGGGUCCUAAGUCUUCUGCCUAAUAAUAAUCACCAGAGUUUUCAGUACAUUGUUGAAAAUAGGGCCUGGACCAUGCUUAUUCUUGCCAGUGAGGGAAGUGGGCCAGGCCGAUAAGACAAUCCCUUGUACUAGUGUUAGGUGUCUGGUGGACCAACAGGUCCAAUAAUUUGGUGGUGGACCAAAUUCUUUUUUGACCUUGAGCGUGCCAAUGACAAAAUAGUGCUUGGGAUAGUCCUCAACGUUCGCCCGGGUUACUCUCAGCCGUUAAUGUAAGUGGAAUUUACGAUGCAUUAAUGAUUUAGAGUCACCAACGUGCAUGUGGGAGACUAUACUUAACAAUUUUCAAAAAAUAUUGCUGGUCUCCUUUUGUUUUCACUUUUCUUUUUCAAUAAAGUAAAGUUGAGCAAAUUUUCUAGAUCAGUGUACUGAUCAAAUUGUUGGGUGCAUUUAGAAGCCCAUGUUCUUGUUCUUUUAAUCAGCGUACGGACUCGUUUGGGAAUGAUUUGUGUAGGAAGUACUUGUGCGUUUUCAACAAAACGCUUCUGUUUAUGCAAACUUAUUUGCUCAUCAAUUUGUGCUGCAAAUUAAUGUUGAAUGUUGUAAUUGUUUGUGGUGGAAGGUUUCAAGGAAGGAAAAGCAGCAUGCUGUGGUACAGGGCAGUAUAGAGGGGUGUUCAGCUGUGGAGGAAAAAGAAUAGUGAAGGAGUUUGAAUUGUGUGAGAAUCCAAAUGAACAUGUGUUCUGGGAUUCUCUCCAUCUCACUGAAAAGGUCUACAAGCAAUUGGCCAAUCAAAUGUGGAGUGGUCGGCCAUGGGACUCCAAUGCCACGGGUCUAUACAGUCUCAAGGAUCUCUUCCUCCAAAGCUUCUAAUUAAAUCCUUGCAUCAAAUCACAAAUCGUGACAUAUUAAAUAUUAAAUUAUUAGUCUUUUUUGAUGUAACGCGCUCAUUCCACCAGAAUUAUAACAUGUGACUUUGAACAUUUCAAUCUUUGGUAAAUUAAAAUUAAAAUUAGAUGGAGCAGCUUAGCUGUAAUUGAAGAUUAGACAUGUAUCUUUUGCUACUUUGGUUGACCACCGCAGCCAAAAUAAGUCUUUGCUUCUGGAAGAACUAUGAUUGAAAGUGUAAAUGUCUUGUUACAAUUAUAUUUUUCAAGUAAAACUGUCGAGAUAAACACCCAAAAUUAUCAAAAUUAUUAAAUAUGUGACAAUAGUUUUAAACUUUUUUUAUACAAAAAGAAAAAAACUUUAUUAGUUUUCAAGGAGUAGUUGUGUGUGUAUAAAAAAUUAGAUGAAGCCGUCCUCAGUGAUGUUUGAGGAUUUCUCGUCUUUGAUCGAUUACUCAAUUUUAAAGAUAUGAACAAGUUGCUAAGUAUUUAUAAUUUGAGUCUAUUGCCUUUUUUGUAUAAAUUUAAAUUAGUAAUGUCCAUCAAUUGAAAAUGUUAGAAAGAAGAAGAAACAGUUGGAAAGAUUUAAUUUGCACUUUUUCUUUUCUUACCCGUCUAGAGCUUAAUGUGUCUGUCUAAAGAUUACUUAAAAUACAACUUUAAAAGUUCGAUGAUCGAGCCUGCAUGUGUAGAGACACUCACCUAAUUCCUUAAGACAUAUCUUGAUUUUUGUAACUAUAUUCGAUUUAAGAUUUGAAGUACUCGAUUGACUAUACUAAUGUAAGAGCAUCUCCAACCGAUAUGUCAAAUUGCCACAUGGACAUGCAAUAGUAAAAAUUAAAGGUUAAAAAUAACAUAUCAAAAAGCUUCAUGUCAAAUAUUAUUUUAAUAUUUUUUAGUCAUGGACCCCAUUAUCAUUUACUCUCUUUUAAACAUUUUAUGCAUCAUAUAUGCCCAAUUUGUUUUUAAAAAUAUAAUAAAAAUAAUGUGAUAUUUAACAUUUCGAGUGGAGUUAAAUUUUUUCCAAAGUGCCACAAAAGCCAUUAAAUUCAAAUUUAAUCGUUUACAUUUGACAUCUUCCUUGAAGAUGUUCUAAUUAACGGUCCUCUAAAUGCCACGAUUGCCUCGCAUUUCCGGCCAUUUCUACUUAAACUGUUAUUCUAGUAGGUCUUGUUGACGAACUUCAAAGAAUGGUAAUUUCUAUAAAAAAAAAAAGGCCAUAUCAAACAUAUAAAAAUGAAAACAAUAAUAUUUUAAAGUCUGAGAAGAAGGUGGUGGAGAAACAAAUUUAAAUGCGAUAGAGUAAAAUAUUUGUUUGCUUACGUAUCUUCCUUCUGGAUUGUUUUGAUUUGGACUUUUUAAAGAGAAUAGGUAUGUACUUGAUUUUUAUACACAAAAAAAGAAAAAAAAAGAAAAGGUCAUUGAUUUUUAUACGCAUGGAGAACUGCCUCCAAAUGUCCCUAUAAAUAGCAAUGCAAGAUGAGUUGAAGAUCGAAUCUAGCAAUUCAGAACAAAGCAAAAAAAUAAAAAAGAAGAAAAAAAGUAUGGCAAAUAUAAGCUUCCAAGUCUCUGUCUUCGCAUUUUGUACAAGCAUUAGCCUUCUUCUCAUGGCAACCCAAAGCCAAGGCCAUCUUGGGUUUGACAAACAUGUACCCCUUUUCUUCUUUGGUGAUUCAUACUUUGAUGCUGGGAAUAACAACUAUAUCAACACUACUCUGCGGGCAAAUUAUUGGCCAUAUGGUGAAACUUUCUUCAAAUACCCGACCGGUCGAUUUUCGGACGGUCGUCUAAUUUCAGAUUUUAUUGGUAAGAGAUAUACAUACUUUACAUGAACUCAUGGAAAUGGUGUCUUAUAGUAAAGAAUCCGAAAUGUUAAUAUUACCCAGGUAAUUGAAAGUUAAGUAUUUUGCUGUUGCAGCUGAGUAUGCAGAGUUGCCGUUUAUUCCACCGUAUCUACAACCCGGCAGUCAUCAGUUUAUAUAUGGAGCAAACUUUGCAUCUGCAGGAGCUGGUGCUCUGGUUGAAACUAGCCAAGGUUUGGUAUGUGUGAAAUCAUUUUGCAUGAAUUUUUUGUUUAUUUUUAUUUAAUCACUGGGGAAGGAGGGAUUCGAAACUUGGAUUAGGAAUCGAAAUACCACUAAAUCAAGAGUUAGUUUGAUGCAUGCAUUUGCUUCGUCAAUUAGUUUUUCCACAAUGGAAAUUACCGAUACACUGUACAAGAAAAGUCAUAAUGCAUAUAUAGGUCACCCAUUUCUUACACCACAUUUAUCAUAUGAUUGGGUUCAAUGCACCUUUUAUAGAGAUGUGGUACACCAACCAAUCUAGUAGAAAACAUGUGGUACAUCUAGCAAGUCAACGCUUCCACAAGACUUGCCUAGUCUUGGCAUGAGUUUAUAUUUAGAAUAGACAUGUACUUGUAAACUACCCAACCACACAUUGAAUAGAAGGCUCAAACAUUAAUUAUAACAUUUUUUUUUUCCUGAAAACUAUGACCCUUAUGAAAUUGGUUACUUAGUUUUCUCAACCUUAACCCUCUUUCAGGUGAUAGACCUUCAUUCUCAACUCUCAUAUUUCCAAAGGGUCAAGAGGUUGCUGAGGCAGAAACUAGGGGAUGAAGAAGCCAAGGCUCUGCUCUCAAGAGCCGUUUACUUGUUUAGCGUCGGAGGCAACGAUUAUAUUUUCCCAUUCGAGACAAACUCCAGUGUGCUUCGAUCCUACUCUCAUGAGGAAUUUGUAGGCCUGGUGAUAGCCAACAUCACUGCAGUAAUCAAAGUAAAUUCCUAGCUAGUACAUACUUUUUUUUAAAAAAAAGUAUUGAUUACAUAAUAUUGUUGUGCAUGCAUGAUGGAUAUAGUACUAACAAACGAAAUAUUCAUUUUGACGAAUUAGGAAAUAUAUAGGGAAGGAGGAAGGAAUUUUGGGUUUCUUGGCCUUGAUCCUCUUGGUUGUUUACCAUAUUCAAGAGCAAUUGUAUAUGUACGGGGAGAAAGUGGUGCCUGCUUUGAAGGAAUUACACCAUACGUAAAACUACACAACAAAGCAAUUUCCAAACUCCUGCAGAAGCUAGAGAUUGAGCUCAAGGGAUUCAGAUACUCACUUUCCCAAAUUUACGAGUUUUUAAUAGAAAGAAUAAAUCAUCCCUCUAAAUAUGGUACGUACAUAUCUUGAAAAAAUCUUCGUAUGAACUAAAUUUAUAUUAUCAAACCGUGAAUUUGAUGACAUUUAAUAUAGAAAUAAGGAAUUAAUGUUCAAUUUUUGUUUUGUGAUCGACAAAGGUUUUGAGGAAGGGAAAGUGGCAUGCUGUGGAAGUGGUCCAUAUGGAGGCAUUUAUAGCUGUGGAGGGAAGAGAGAGGUGAAAGAGUAUGACCUGUGUCAUAAUGCUAGUGAAUAUGUCUUCUUUGACUCUGGUCAUCCAACUGAAAGGGUCUUUCAGCAGUUUGCCAAGCAAUUCUGGAGGGGAACUUCCAAUUCCACUACGUCUUACAAUCUGAAAGCACUAUUUGAAACUCAAUAUUAAGUAUGUAUAUUUAGGGUACGUAUGAGAAUUUUGUUUAUUUAUUUAGGGUCUUAGACCAAUUUUGCCCCCAUAUGUAGUGAGAAUGUUUGCUCAUUGUUCUACCAAACCUGUGCGUGUAUGGUUACAUAUGAGUGUUUAGUAUUGUAAAUUCAUAACAAAUUUUUUUGUAUGUGACGUGGGCAAUAUAAUACAGUGGGUUACAUAUUUACGGGUGUGAAUUUUUUUGGAUAUUAUUAUUAAUUGUGUUUGAUAAACUGUUCCCGAAAAAUGAAACAAUUCUCGUAUUGUGGAAAUUUUUCCUAUCAAUUCAUCAAACAAAGUUACCCAAACCCCAUGAAUGCCAAAAUCACCCACCCGAUGAACAAAUCAAUUAAUUGGUUGAUAAAUUAACCAUUUUAGAGAAUUUAUUAACCCAUAAAACUACCAAAACUAAAAUACAUGGUGUGGAGGAAGGCCAUGCGGCAAGAAGAAUGGAGAAAAGGGAAUCUGAUGCAGAUGAUGAGGAACAUAAGGCCAUCUCCAAUGACGAGGGCUAAAUCUAGCCUGGGUUAUAGCCUUUUAAAAUAUUAUUUUUUAAGGAGUAGUGUAGGGCUAAAUUUUUUAACCUCUAUGUUAGGGCUCUCCAUAUUUUAUCAUUUUGAGAAAAGCUAUAGUACAUUACUCAUACAUUCAACUAGGGUUUGUGCCCGGUUUGAAAUUUUCGAAUUCGGACCGAGUCUUAUGGGGUUUUUUAUUUUUCGAGUCGGGCCGAGGUUUCAAAGGCCUUGGCGUAGGCCCGCUCAUUGGGCUAACUUUAUUAUUCUAUUUAUUAUUUAUUCUAUUAUGGGCGGGCUGAGUCAAGCUUAGACAUGCUUUUCGGGCGGACCGAGGUUUCAAACUCUUUAUUCAAGCCCUACUCAUUCUUAAAACGGAUCGAACCUAAAUAUCGGGCUGAAUCGGGCUUUGGCACAUCGUGCCUCCGACUACCCACAGACUCCAUUGUUGUAUGCCCUCUACUUUCUAAGGGAUUGAAUCUGCUUCUCAGCUUUGGGGUUUUGGGUUGUUCUCUUUUUGGUUACAAGGUUUUGGGUUUUCUUAUUGUUUUCAAGAGCUGCAAACCCAGGCCCAAGUUUCAAAUUUUCCAUCCAUCUUAUUUUGUUUUGGAUUAUCAUUUCUGCUUGCUCUGAAAAUUUUAUAAUAUGAAUCAUAUCGUAAAAUAGAGAGAACAUGAGAGUACAAGUUAGAUAACAGUGGAAUUGUAAUGACUUUUAUGAUACUUCUCAAAUACAUUGAGUAGACGAAUUGCACCGACUCAUUUUUCCUUAGUAAUGGUUUCAAUCACAUCUUUCAUUACGUUGUUGUACCUAGUGUAUAAGUUCAUCACAAAAUCUUCACUUCUCCAUAAUUUUUUGCUUUUCACUCUCACCUUGUGGCCCAUCCACAUUUACAACAAAUAAGCAUAUUUUUGAUAUAUUAUUCUUUUAUAACAUGCUAAAGUUAUUUCACAAUGAAUAUCUUUAGAACUCUCUUUAUAGCAAUUUUUGUGGAAAUUAAAUCUGAUCGAGCCUUUGAAGAGUUGAGAUAGAGGAAGCAUACAUAUAUAUAUAUAUAUAUAUAGAGAGAGAGAGAGAGAGAGAGAGAGAGAGAGAGAGAGAGAGAGAGAGAGAGAGAGAGAGAUGUGGGUUAUUUAUUUAUUAUUAUUAUUUAUAUAAAUGGAAUUUAAAUUUAAAAAUAAAUACAUUUUCUUCUUUUUCUAUGAUUUUUAAAAUUUAAAUCAUGUUAAAAAUAUUUGUUUUCCAUUUAAAUCCAUGUGGUAUUGUUUUAUUGGAUAUGUAGGCUCCACAUAUGUGCCAUGUUAGGAAACUAACUGAAAUUUGUACUUAGGUGAAGGGGGUAUAUUGAAAACCCCAAGCAAGCUCAAGAAAUCCUAGGUCUAUUUAGGAAACAAGAUAUACCUCCUCUGUUCAACCUUCCUUUCUAACUUAGUAAAGGUUGUAGCAAGUCCUUCAUGGCAAUGAAAGCUUCCUCUUCAGCUUGUUCAUCCCAUGAUACCGGCUUACACAGCUCAAAUCCGAACAGGAACAAGAAACUUGGAUUCCAAAUGACAAGACCAAUUUUUUCAAGAAAUCAUACUCUUGAAGAAAUCAAUAUAGAAUCUGACCAAGAUCUAGAUGGUGUAUAUGUUGUUUUCUAGAUGCAGAUUUUAAAAAUAAUGAAAGCAAUUUUCAAAUGCAGAUUUAAAAACUCAUUUUCAAAAGACAUGACUUCUUAAAAAAAAUGUGGUGCAAAAGCUAUAUGAGCAAGCUCUUAAAUCUUUUUGGGAAAGAAAGAAGUGUAUGAAUAUGUUAGAUGCAUAUUUCAAAACUCAUGAAAGCAGAUUUUCAAAUGCCAUUUGAAAAACUCCUCUUCAAGAGAAUGACCUCUUACCUAGAGAGAGAGAGAGAGAGAGUAAAAGGAGGACCGAAGUGUAAGAUUUAAAACAUUUUAAAGAAGUUUAUUUGAAUAUAAAUCAAAUUAAUCGCAGUGAAAGUCUAUGGUGGUUGUUUAAAUUCAAAAAUAAAACUUCUUCCAAGUAUCUUAAGCCAUGAACAUUGACAUGUUUUUCAUAAAUGGAAAGUUCAAGAGAAAGGAUAGGAUCUAAUUACCCUUGAAGCAAUUAUAUAUGAAUCAAUUUGUGUUUGGUCUUCUCUUGAUGAUUUCCUCUUUGUUGAUCUCCUCUUUGAUCUUUGCUCCUUGAUCUUUCUCCUCUAUGUGAGCCACAAAAGUAUAUGGCCUCUAAGUGCCCGUUUGGCAUUGCUUAUUUGGGGCUAUAAGUGAUUAUUUUAAAAUUUUUGAAAGCCCAACCUGUUUGGUAAAAGAUAAUAAAAUCACUUAUUUUGAAUAAUUGCUGUAAGAGAAAGUAAUUAGGGAAAGAAAGUGAUGAGCUGCUUUCAUUUUUUGAAUAUGCAGAAAUCAGUUUUCAAAAAGCGCUGGGUUUAAUGAAACUUUCAAAAUUUCAAAAAUAACACCCCUCCCCCUUUUUUUUUUAACCAACCGCACUUCUAACAAAAAUUUUACCAAACCCCAAACUGCUUUAUUUCACAGCUAAUUUCUCUCACAGCAAAUCUAACAGUGAUUAUUUUUAUAGCAUAGCAAUGCCAAACUGGCUCUAAGUCUCCACACCAAUGGAACCUUGAGAUGAGAGGAAGUAUCUUAAGAAUACAAGAAUGCUAGUGCAAGAUUCUCAAGAUUAGUUUCAGUCUAAAUCAUUUGAAAGAUGAAAGUGUUUCACUCUUGAAAACUCUCUUUUAUCUCUCUUUGAUCUCCCAAACCUAUUUGGUUGAUGUUGGAUUGUGUUUGUAUGUCAAUUAGCUUAUGGAAACAAUUCCAAUACACAUUUACUUAAGCAUUUUCGACCAAACCCUAUUGGGCUUCCAAAAUUGGGCCUUGUGACACUUAAAUUAUAAUAUUUAGGUGUCUUAAGCCCUUGGGCUUGAUACCUAACCAUUUGGGCUUCUUGUUAACUAUUACCGAGACCCAAAUACGUUUUUACACGUAGUAAAUCAUCCGCAUCAAAUCAAUCAAAUUGAUUUCCUCAUUCUCAUUUGUAUUACUCAAAGUUAACCAUUUAAGGUGUGCGAUCCAUUAGGUUCUAAUUAGCAAGCAAUGGGAAAAUAUUAGAACUCUUUCUAAUCAACUGGAAUUAAAACUCCUUUUUAAUUCUUCAUUUAUUUGGAUCGAUCACAAUCAAUCCUAGGACUUCCACGAGGCAAGAGUGACAUCUAGCAAUAUAUCAAGGCUACCCAAGCUAACGAUAAUAGAUGAAGAACCUAUUCAAUUGGAAUUGCAAUGCAAUACAGUCCUUCUCUUAUAUAAUGUUUCAAAUCAUAUUAUCAGGGUGCAGAUUGAUUAUGUCAAACCCCUAAUAUGAUUUAUAACCUCAUGUAAUUCAAAAGAACAUGAUUAAGCAUAACUUUCUAAAUCAAGCUCAAAAUACUUUGGCCAAAGAUUUGAUGAAUCACAUUUUGAAACAUUCUCCUUCUUUAUCGAAGGUAGAGAUUCCUUAUGAUGAAUUAAGAUAUCCCAACAACACUUAAGACAAAUCUUUUACGGCUUGCCUUUGAGAGCUAUUAAAGAUCAAUAAUGCAUCCCAUGACAACCAUGAUGCCUCAGGUCUAAGGACUAAUGCAACUAUGAGUUCUCAUUUAACAUAUAGAUAAAUACUCCAUACGAGAACUAUGGUUGAUCGUGUUUAGUGUACUCAUUCACUAAUGAGCCCCCACAUACUUGUAUUAGUGUCAACUACACAAAUUGUUUGAGACUAACCAUCCUCCUAAUUGAGUAUACAUAAUAUAUGCUAAUCUUGACGAUUUAUCAAUGCCCAUUUAAUAACCCAUGAUUAGGAACAUUUUGGGAUACUAAAGUUAGAGAUUAAAGAUCUCCCGAAUCUAAUUUUCUUUAGAUUGCUUUAUCUCUUAUUUAGCGUACCUUGAACAUUUAUUUCUUUACACAAUGUAAAAGAUAACAAAAUAAGUUUGCCCCUUAUAUAUCAUAUACAAAAUGUAUUCUAAUACAAAGCUUUCCAAAAUAUUGGGUCUCAGAGAAGUGAUGGCUGCAAGGUGAGGGAUGAGGGUUUUACCAAUGCUUCAUGAAUGAUUUUACUUUUGAGAACUCAUAACUGUGAACAGGUCACUUUUGUUUUGUACCACAGCCACUGAUUCAUCAUUCUUCAUCCUAGUCUAAUUCUAAACUCUUGAGUUUGAGUGAAAAUAGUAAACUAUUACAAUUCGUUAAGGAAAGCUAAAAUACUUUGCUAAGCGACACCUAACACUAACAUAUUUUUUUACAUAAUUUAAGAACAUGGACUACUUGUGAGCACGGAUAUUAACCUUAAGAACUAUUAAUAAUAAAAUAUAAAAAUAAAUAAAAGAUAAAAUCUGAUAAUUACGUAAACCUCAAAGACGUUUUGUGAUAUAAAAAAACCAAUUUUAAAAGAAUAUGAAGGACAUAAGCUAAAUACAAACACAUGGAAUGCAAUGAAAAAGAAAAGUUCUUUGAAUCAAAUCUGAAUUAUUAUAAUCAAUCCUAAAAUAGCAUAAACUAGUCCUCACAAUUCCCACAUCAAAUCCAACCGACAUUUGUGACAGCCUACCGCGCCUAAACAUUGGUGGAUUUUGCUUUCAUAGUCUAUUAGCCAUGUGUUCGGCACCUGCAAAAAGUGUGAACGUAUUUAGGAUUUAUUCUUGGGAUUUAUUCUCUUGUUUGGCUAAAUUUUUAUUAUCUCUCAACCACGUGGCUGUGGAUCUCAUCAUCACAGUAUUUAAUUAGCCAUGCAUUCCACCAGGUGGUUAUUGUAAACCUGAUUAGUAUUUAUAUGGACUUCUCAAUUGUGGCUCGGUGUAAAAUAUUUGUUUGUUUGUGCAUAUUAUUCUUUACAGAAAAAGACGACAAUGAACGUUUAAUUUUUUUUACAGGGAGGUAUAAUUGUGUACUUGUUUUGUUCGGCACAUUUUGAUUUAUUCAUUCGCUUUUAGUUGCAAUGAGGAUAACAUUAUUUUGUUAUUUUCGAUCAGUAAUUUUAUAUUACGUAAAAGUAUUAUCACAUGUAUUAUAACGUUAUUAGACAGACCCAUUUCAUAAAAAUCUUUCUACUUCAAAUGCCCCUAUAAAUAUCAACUGUAGCUAGAUGAGGUGAUCAAGAUGCAAUUAAGUAAGAGAUAGAUAUGGAAAAUAUGAGCUAUAUCCAAAUCUUCGUCUUUGCCUUAUGUACAAGCCUUCUUGUCACAACCCAAAGCCAUGGCCAUCCUGUGUUGCCAAAAACACAUGCACCCCUUUUCAUAUUUGGGGAUUCAGUCUUUGAGGUUGGAAAUAAUAACUACUUUAACACUAGUUGGCGGGCAAAUUAUUUUCCAUAUGGUGAAACCUUCUUUCAUUACCCAACUGGGAGAUUUUCUGAUGGUCGUCAAGUUCCAGACUUUAUUGGUACAUAGUAUAUAUAUAUAUAUAUAUAUAUAUAUAUAUAUAUAUAUUAGAAAUAUGAUAUGAAUGAAUUUUUCAAAAUAAAUUUUAUUUUAUAUUUUUAUAAAUAUAUCUGAAUUAUGACUAGACAUAAUUUUAUUGUUGCAGCUGAGUAUGCGAAGUUGCCAUUGAUUCCACCAUAUCUACAGCCUGACAAUCAUGAAUUUUCAUAUGGUGUCAACUUUGCAUCUGCUGGAGCUGGUGCUAUGGUUCAAACUCGCCAAGGCGUGGUAUGUGACGUGUUUUUGGAAGAAUGUGCGUGCAUCUUAAGUUAAAGACGUCGAAAAGACAGGUUUUCCGGGUUUACGAGUUUUAGUAAAUUUGAUUUUUCCCAUUUAAACUAAUUUUUUUUCUUACUUGCGGUCUAUCAAUUUAUUUUUGUAUAACUAAAGCCGGAUAACUAGAAUCUAAUUUAGCUUAAUAUAGUAUUUAUUGUACUUUUCAAAUCCAAAAAUUCCCCCACUUACAAUUUUACGUGUUAUAUAUGGGGUGUAUUGUUAUAAAUCUAGAGAAUUAAGGAGAGAAUUUGGGAGCAGAGAAUUGAGGAGAGAAAUGGAGGAAGCAGAGAAAAAACUCUACCCCUCUUUCAGAUUGUCUAUGUUUAUAUCAUUAGCAAUGUGGGCCCCUUUCCAACAUGUGGGCUCCACACCAAAUAAUUUACAACACUCCCCCUUGGAGACCACAAAUGAUACAGAAUAUGUCUCGUUAAAAACCUUGCCAGUAAAAACCCAGUGGGACAAAAAAAACUGGCCAAAGGGAAAAAGAGUACAUAAUCAUGUGUAACAUAAAAUUCUAUGUAUAUUGACGCGCAUGCGACACUGCCUCGUUAAAACCUUGCCAGGAAAAACCCAGUGGGAUAAAAACCUGGACGAAGGAAAAAGAGUACAGUGUUUGAAGAUCUUUAUUGAUAGCACGCUCCCCCUGAUGCUUGGCAAAAUAUCUUUAAGCCAUACUGUUGAUCAUCUUUCUGAAUAUCGUAGUUGACAUUGCUUCUGUGAGUCAAUCUUGAGUGACACUGCUGCUGUGAGUCAAUUGUAACACCCCGACCCUAAAUUUAACCCUUAUUUAAUUAUUUAAUUAUUUAAGGGUAUUUUAGUCAUAUUUUUAACCGGAGAGAGUUUGGGACCGCGACUUAUAUUUUUGGAUAGGUCGUACUGAGACGAGUUCAUAGACACGUAGUGGGCUCGAAUCGGAGUUGUAACGAGAGAGAUAUGGUCAAAAGAAGCCCAGUGGCAUAAUCGUAAAUAUUUCAAAAUGGGAUUUUUUAUAAAAUCAGAUUUCUCUCUCUCUCUCUCUCUCUCUCUCUCUCUCUCUCUCUCCCGCGACUCCUCUCUCUCUCUCCCGUCGGCCUCUCCUCUCUCUCUCUUCGUAACUCCGGCCACCGGCCGCGGCUGCGGACGGGGCCGGCGUCAAAAGAACCGGCUCGACCUCGGCGUCACGACCCAGCACAUCCCCGCCAUCGGCCGCCGCUCCAGCCGCCGGAAAAUGGCGAUUUUCGUCCGGAUGUCGCCGGAACUUCAACGCCGUCGAUCUCCCUCCUCCGGCCACCAAAUCCGUCGACCCAGGUAUGGAUUUUGAAGCUCUCGAGCUGCUCUAGCUGAUGGUUGGGUAGGAUUAGAUCGAUUUGUAGCGUAGCUAACUCAAUUUUCGAAUUGAAAAUCGGCCGAAACUUCGGCCGCCGUGAUCGGGCAUUUCCGGUCACUUUUUGGGGUAGGUCCAAGAACAAAAGUGACUCCAAAUGAGGUGUUUUACCUAGGAUAGGAGUUUGGAGUCUUGGUUCCGAGAUUUUUCGACGAACCAUAAUCGCUUUGGACACCCGAUCUGCCAGCGCGUGUGGCAGCGCGUGGGCGAGGGUGGUGGAGCGACUCUGGGUAGUUUUGAGAUCCUCGUGCCGUCACGAGUGCGUAGGAUUUCGCGGAUCUCAAUUCGGACGUCGUUUGACUAUCGAACGGAUAAUCGCAUAUUAUGCGUUAUCCGGGUUCGAUAGGUUGGGACCGUCGGAUGGUCCCAAAUUUAAUAUAUGUUGAUCUAGGUAUUUCUAGGAUCGUGUAGGAUUUCACGGAUCGAGAAUCGGAGCCCCGGAUGUUGGAUUCACUACAUGCACCACCAAGUGAAAGUUAGGUCCCACGUGGCGUAAGUUAUCCGGCGUUGGGACAGGCCCCAUACGUGGCGUUGGUUGUACCGGCGUAUGGGGAGAUUUGUAAUAUGAUGUUCAGGAGGGUGAUGUGCCUUAUAUGGCACACCCGCAUCCAUCUAGCACGAGGCCUUUUGGGAGCUCACUGGCUUCGGAGUUGUAAGAACUCCGAAGUUAAGCGAGUAGGAGGCUGGAGCAAUCCCAGGAUGGGUGACCACCCUGGGAAGUUGCUUCGUGAGCUCCCAGAAACAAAACCGUGCGGGCAGUGAGAGGAGGGCCCAAAGCGGACAAUAUCGUGCUACGGCGGAGCCGGUCCGGGGUGUGACAUCAAUCUUGAGUGACACUGCCUCGUUAAAACCUUACCAGGAAAAACUCAGUGGGAUAAAAACCUGGAUGAAGGAAAAAGAGUACAGUCUGCAUAUCUAAUAACACUUGGGCUAUUUGUAAGUUCACUCAAAAAUAUGCCCGUAUAUGGUGUUAUGCUGAGAUAGCAUCAAAUAUACCUCACAUCAUCCCAAAAUGAUGGUGAUGGAGGUGAGCUCUAUCUGGAAAAUACGAUAUACGGUCCAAUAUACUUCCGGAAAAUCCUUAAAGUGUCCAACGGAUAAUCCUCAUAAAAAUGCUUCAAUACUUUCUUAGUAUAAGCAAGAAUCUCGUUGGCAUAAUGCUCGAUCCUUAAGUCGAGACAAAUAUUUCUUGAACUCUUCAGAAGCUUUAAUGUGUUGCAAACACAUUAUAAUCCAUGUACUCACUGAGACAAUUUAUGCACAUUAGUAUUGAGUACAGAUUUUGUGCUUCAGGCACAUGUCCUUCAGGGACUUGCUUCAUGCAAUUUCAAUCCUUUCAAGGAUUUUGUUUAAAGGGGAUUAAACUUUAUGACACAUUAUAUAGCUUUAACCCAGCUAUUUAUACAUCUUUAAGGAAUCACUACUGGUGAUAUGCUCCGUGCAUUUAAUAACCCUUAAAGAUAACAUCUUGGUCUUCGUAAAUGUGCAAUAAGGAGGCACAAUCGAAUCUGUAAAUAUGGAGAAAACCCAACAUUCCUUGUUUCUGCCAGAAACAUUGUGUCAUACAAAGUAGGUAUAUUCCCUUUUAUUCCGAACACCCAAGUAUAACAUUCAGUAUUAACAAAUUUUGGGGUUCGUACUGUGGGUUGUUCCUUCACGUUCAUUCUUAUCUAUAAUGGAAUUACCUCAUUCCAUUUUGGCCAAUGAUAUUGUCGACAUUUAAUAAUUGAACGUGGUUCCAAUCAACACAGCCCAUUGAUGAUUUGAGUAGCUACUCCAAAAUCAAAAAUUGUCAUUCAUCAAGUCAUGAUCCCACCAUUCUCAUGUGCAUGCGCAUGCAUCAAUUAUAAGCAUUUCUUUGCUUUUGGGUACCCAAGCCACUGCAGGGGGCUUUUAUUAUGUGAGAAUGUGGAUUAUAACCUCCAAUGGAGCGUUAUUUUAUAGUAGGGCGUGGAUAAUCUCCAUUUAGGGAGUUGGAACAUUUAGAACCCAUAUAUCUGUCAUGCGGCAGGCAUGCCACAGAUUAAUACAUACAUGUCAAUUAAUUUAUGGGACUUUAACCUAUAUAAUUUGCUACGCAUUAGGCGUGCAUAAUAUCAAUAUUGACAUGUCAAAGGAUUGUCCUUUCGGGACUUCAAUCCAUAUCAUUUGCUACGCAACAGGCGUGCAUCAUAUUGAUCACUGCUAUACCCAUAUUCUGUUCUUAUGGUACAUUAAUCUGUGCAGUGUAUUAUCAAUGUAUCCAACUUGCAAUCUGUAAAAUUUGCAUUAAUAAUUCAUGGAUACAUACAAGCCAUUCUUUUGGAACGGACUUAUCUUCCCAUUUGGUUACCUUUCAAGAUAAAAUAUCAAAUAAGUAUAUAAGCAAAAAAUAACACAAGUAUUGCUUACAUCCUUAGGUGGGAGAAACUUGUCUCAAGUAUCAUUCAAGCUCGUAUCGGUCCAGUAACGCUUGAUGAUCUAGUUAUAUCCUGCAAGAGCAAAAAGUCACAAUUCUUCCCUCUGUCAAAAAUAAAUAAAUAACCCUCAGAGUUAGGAUCACCGUAUGGAUUCUUUCUUCGGAUGUUCGUUCUAAAGAAAUAAAAACCCUUAUGAACAGAGAGUUAUAAAAAAGAAAGAAAAGAUACAAAGAUUGUGAUAUUGAUUGCCAGGUAAGGUAAGCAAUCAAGGAAGGAAGUUGGUGGGAGCAGACAAUAAGCUCUCAAUUCUCCUAGUCUAGAAGGACUUCUGGAGAUUAGAGCAUAAGAUCGCCUUCACAGUUUCCUGAUGUAGCGAAAACGUGAUCAGGGAUAGUCUCGCUUCCUGAAUGGAUGAUCAGAGAUAGUCUUGCUUCUCGGGCAUAUUGAAUGUUCACUGAUAAGAAAAACAAGUAGAUAUCGCAUCACUAGGUAUGGAGUAAACUGGAUGUCUUCUGCAAAGAAAAUUUCGUUAGUAACACAUUUAUACACAAUGAAUAGGUAGAACCGGUGAAUUUCAAGUUAACCAUAGGAAAAUUGCGAGAUUCUAGGGAUGCUUUUGAAAAAGUAGCUCCGUGAAAUCCGUAAAGCAAGAUCGGCUUUGAAAAUAAUACUUGAAAACGCCGAAAGUGCCGACAGGCAUUAUUAGAGGCCACGUGAAGUUUUGGACUCUGGGAAAGAAAAAGAUAAUAUGGGGAUUCGAGAAGAUAUUGGGGUCCUGAAAAACAGUAGCCAUAUUUCCUCCUAUAGAUAUGACCUUUGCAAAACUUGAUUGGAGCAACUGCGUUUCAACUCAAAUUUCUUCAUUUUCUGAAACUUUAGUUUUCCUAAGACUUUCUUCGAAACCUUCUCAAAAAUGGCUUCCUCUUCUUCCUGCCCAAAUUAUUUCAAUUUAAAUGAUGCUCCCACAACAACCAGUGACGCCAAAGUUUGGCGUCCAUCCUUUGUAUCCCAAAAUCGUCAUCUCACAGUUAAUGAUUCUGUGAUGAUGAAUGAUGCUACUGCUGUCAUAGUAGCUAGGAAUUUCAUUACUCCAAUGGAUGAAAUGCUGUUAACAGGGAGGUCUGAGGAAGAGGCUAUUGAUGACUCAAUGGCUUUUAGCAUUCAGAGUGCUGCUUCUGUUUCUAACAUGGCUGAUCGUUUGCGUGCUAGAGCAAACGAGGUUGAGAAGCUGACAACUGAAAAUUCGUCUCUUCAAAGAAUGCUUCAUGAGUCUCAACAGGAGGUUAAGAAACUUAAAGGAGAGAAUAAUUCCUUGUUGAAACUGGUGAGUUCGUACUCUGUUGAUACACUGAGAAGGCUAGACAUGCUGCAGGUCUCCAAUGAAAGAAUUUUGGGAGACCACGAGAAGCUCAUGGCCAAGCUUAAGAGGCGCCAUACUCUUCCUUCAGAGGCUUCCAGAACAUAAUGUAAUUUUAUAGAUUUUACAGGGCCUGCACCUUCAUUGCAGGUGAAAAAAAUCUAUCUGUUGUAUGUUCCUGUAAUAAUAAUUGCGCACAUUCUUAAACUUGCACCUGUGGUUUUUACGUCUUUUCAAAAUGACGGUUUGGAACCUUGUGCCUUAUAGAUUCAAAUAACCACAUCGAUUCUCCCAAAUUUCAUAUUUCAACGCAUGGUAGCCCGGAACUUUUGGCCUGGGCACAAACUCAGAAUUUAUUUGCCCUUUUCAAAUGGACAUAAAAUAUGAAUUGAGUAAAAGCCAUGAUAAUAUCGCAAUAUAGUAGUGAAGAGCAUUAACUACUAUAUACCCACAACUUCAAGUUUAGGAUCUCUCAUAUAUUUGGAUCCAUGGGCUUCCGGCCCAGAUAUAACAAAAUAUGUGGGGAGCCUCAAUUCAUUAUUUGAGGUUUAUAUUGAUAUUAUCCAUUUCGCGGUGUAUUCUUAACAACCGGAAUUCACAAAAUAUAUUUCUUCCUUGAGGUGUCGAUUAUAACAAAAUCGAACUUUAAAUUCAUCAUCUUCUUAUGCCAAAGAAAUAUGUGGCAUACCACAAUUUGCAAUAAUACCUCAAGGGUUGUCCAUUUAAUUGUUGGAACUUCAGGUUCUCAACACUGUUAAAUUUUAAACUUCAGGCCAAAGCCACAUAUUCUCAUGGAAUGGACAUUUUUACAAUUUUCUGUACAUAUUUCGGGACUUCAAGUCCUUACAUAAUUGUCCAUAUUUUGAGGAACUUCUGGUAUCUCAUUUAAUUGCUCAUCCAUGAGUUUAAGGAACUGCAGGUUCCCUUUUGUAUAUAGUGACGGUUUACCCAAAAUGGUCCAUAUUUAUGCAUACGUCACUAUUCAUGUGAAUAGUACUAUUCAUCAAGUCAUGAAUACGUAUCUAUUCAUCUGCCAGUACAAUUAUCAUCAAUGUGUACGGCACCAUGAACCAAUACGGUACUGUUACAUCAUUAAGGAACUCUAGGUCCUUAUUUACAUGUCAGGGAUCAAGGACACUUAAGUCCAAUCACAUGUUUACAAAUACAGUACCGGAGAGACUGCCAGCUUUCAUUUUAAUAUCAUCAUCAAGGAUCUUCAAGUCCUGAUGUAAUUGUAUGAUGAGGAUCAAGGAACUUCUGGUCCUGAUUUGCAUACUGUAAAAACUCAUCAUACAACACAAUUAAUCCAUAAAAUAAAUUGCUGAUAAAUAAAUUACUGGUAUGGACGAUAAACCCGCACCAUACUUUAAAUAAAUUAAAUAGCUUGCUGUAUGGACGUUAAUCCCGCACCAUACCUGAAAUAAAAUUAAAUGUGCGGUAAAGUAAACGUGCUUGUAUGGGCACUAAUUCUGCUCCAUACAUUUAAAUAAAAGUAAAGGCGUGGACGAUAAAACCGCACCACCCUUUUAAAUAGAUACUGUUGUAUGGGUAAUAAACCUACACCAUACAGUAAAUAAAAUAAAUGUGCGGUAAAUUAAAUUUCAUAAAGUAUGAGAGUCAAUUCCACAUCAUACUUUAAGUAAAAGUAAAUUUGCGAUAAAAUAAAGGCAAUUAUUUGUGGGUUCAUAUCAACACCACAAUCAGAUAAUAUAGUAGAUAAUAUUAUUAUCGUUUGUGGAAGGCAUCAUGAUUGUCUCUCAAAUAAAAAACUUUCCACCUGCAGAGCAAGUUAAAUAGUGUAGGAUAAUACUAAAGUAAUUGAAAGAUAAGGGUGCAGAAGACUUAUUGUUUUUUUCAGUGGGUUCUCUAUUCUCUCAGUGGGCAUGCCUGGCAAUAAUCAUUUGUUUCCUUUACUUUGCUUUCCACUAGGAUCAACUUGCUGUAUCCCACUUUUCCUCCUGCACACCUUUAAUCAAUAUAAUUAUAUAAUUAAAAUAAUAUCACACCUUCAUAAAAUAAUAUCAUUAUAGACUUGCACUAUGGCCGCCAUCAUCAUGAUCUUGCACAUGUUCAGCACCACGGAUAUGGUUCUUGGCCUUCAUGACUUUACGUUCCGGUGUCCAGAAGCUUGGCACAGUACUCUUGGUUGGUCUUAAGAUAUGGGUUUUGACAGGGAAUAAGAUGGAAACUGCAAUCAACAUAGGAUUUGCAUGUAGUUUGCUCCGACAGGGCAUGAAGCAGAUCUAUGUAUCAACAGCGAAUUUCGACAUGUUGGGACAAGAUAGCAAAGAGGCUGUUGUCCAUGAUUAGGAAUUCUUUCUUCUCUUGUAGCAACCUCUCCGAUCCUUGGCACCCUGCACCUUCCUUCCAUCCCCUUUGAACUCUUAGAGCUUCGCCAGCGCAAGACCCAACCCGGGGGAAAGGCCCCCUAGGCGAGCCCAAUGCAGCUCCAGCGCGAGGAAAACAGCCCGGGCAGCUGCUGGGUCCCACGAACCCGGGCAGGCCCAAGGGCAACUUCUGCCUGGGCUUCAGCCCGAGUUGGGUGACGACAUGCUGACGUCAGCCCUGACAGCACCAACGGGCAAGUGCCACGUGUCGCGACAGGGACGCUCCGAUGGUUUUUUUUCCAGAAAUCCGACGGUCCUCGUUUUUUUUGCUUAAAAAAUUGCAAAAAAAUUCUGAAAAAUUCUGAAAUUUUUUUAAAAAAAUACCAAAAAAUUCUGUAUUUUUUCCCUAUAAAUACCUAACCAUUUUAUUUACUUUCCACACAAAAUCUUCAUACAAUUAUCCAAAAAUAAUGGACACGUGACAACCAAAAAUAUUAUCCAAAAAUUUAAUUACAAAAGAUUAUCAAAAUUAAUGGUUUAAAGUAUUAAAAAAGAAAAAGAAAUAAAGUACAAUGAAUAGUAUUUGCCUUAGACUUGCCCUAGACUUAGCCCUCAUGGGUGGAACCACAAAUGGCAAGGCUGCCACUAUUCAUGUGAAUAGUGGCAGCCCUUGCUUGCCCUUGCCUUAGACUUUGCCCUUAUGGGUGGAGUUGCUCUUAGCGGAUAAAUGUCACCAUAAGUGAUUUUCCAAGUGAAGAACCUAUAUGGGUCUUUACCAUUAACGCCAUUAACAAGAAACAGAACCAAAACAAUGGCAAAAGAAAGAAGUUUGCACUCUCUCAUUUUCUGUUCCAGCAAACUAAAAUAAAUUAAAAAAAAAUGUUUCUUAUUCAGAUCUAUAGAGAGAGAGAGAGAGAGAGAGAGAGAGAGAGAGAGAGAGUUCAUAGCCUUGUUGUUCUUGGAUGUCUGUGAGGUGCAGGUGGCUGUUUGCAAGGGUGAGAUUAGCAGAGCCAGGAGCGAGAUCAUGGGCUGUAGCUCCCAAACUGGUUUGUUGGCGUCUACUGAGAGAUGUUGGUUUGGUGGACUUUGGCAGAGAGACUAUCACAUGCUCUCUGUGAAAGAAACAGAGCUUAUGUUUUUCUUUGUGUUUUCUUUGGCUGGGUUUCAUCAUAGAAUUCAGCUGGAAUUGUUGAAAGCGAAUUCGUGCUGAUAACGUGUUAUAAAUCUAGAGAAUUAAGGAGAGAAUUUGGGAGCAGAGAAUUGAGGAGAGAAAUGGAGGAAGCGGAGAAAAAACUCUACCCCUCUUUCAGAUUGUCUAUGUUUAUAUCAUUAACAAUGUGGGCCCCUUUCCAACAUGUGGGCUCCACACCAAAUAAUUUACAACAUGUAUUAAUUUUUGGUUCCCUCAAUUAUUGAGCUUGGGGUUAUCUAAAUGGGAAGUGUCCAAAUUUGAAUGACCCGAAUAGUUAAGCGAUUCGAGUUUACUAUUUAGGGUCUCGGUUAUGACUUAUAACUAGUUCAAAUUGAUAAAUCAGUCUACCGAGCACAUAAUGCGAUGCACUAAUGUUGUACUGACUUCUUGAAAACUAUAUGAUCUCCUGUGUCCUUAUGAAAAUGGUUACUUUAUUAGGUUUACAUCAACUAUUAAUUUCUCCUUAUGAUGGAAAUAACCUUGUUUCAGACGAUAGGCCUUCAAACUCAACUGUCAAAUUUCAAGAACAUCACUAAGUCAUUGAGGAAGAAACUAGGGAACGAAGAAGCCAAAUCUCUGCUAUCAAGAGCUGUUUACUUUUUCAGUAUCGGAAGCAACGAUUAUCUUUACCCGUUCGACACAGACCCAAGUGUGCUUGGAAACUACUCUCAUCAGGAAUAUGUAGAUCUGGUGAUAGGCAACAUAACUACAGUGGUCGAAGUAAAUUCUUAGCUCUUGAAAAGACAAAAAUGAUAAUCCUUUUUAUGCAUAUUAAUUACUAAUUAACAUUAAUUUCGACGUGUCUUGUGUUAGGGAAUCUAUGAGAAAGGAGGAAGAAAUUUUGCGUUGCUUAACCUCUGGCCUAUUGCAUGUCUUCCAUACGCAAGAGCACUUAAUCCGGAAGAAGGUGCUUGCUAUGAUGCAUUUACACCAUAUGUGAAACUACACAACAAAUCACUUCUCAAAGUCCUACAAACGCUAGAGAAAAAACUCAACGGAUUCAGAUUCUCAGUCUCCGAUUUUAAUGAGUUUCUGACACAAAGAAUGAAUCAUCCUUCUAAAUAUGGUAUUAAUUCUACCUAUAUACGCUUUGCUUUCUUAAUUUUGAUAUUGUUCUUUAAUUAAGUACUAAUUAUUGAACCGACCAUUUUGACAUUUAAGCCUUAUGAUAAAAUGUUGGAAAAUUAUAAGGUUUCGUGGAAGGGGAGGCGGCAUGCUGUGGAAGUGGUGUAUAUGGAGGAAUUUAUAACUGUGGAGGAAUGAGAAUUGCCAAAGAGUAUAAUUUAUGCAAGAAUGUCAGUGACUAUGUCUACUAUGACUCUGCUCAUCCAACCGACAGGGUCUACGAACAGUUUGCCAAGACAAUAUGGAGUGGAAAUUCCAUCACUACGCCUUACAAUCUGAAAACUCUAUUUGAAAAUUAGAGCGAAGUUUGAUUAUAGUAAAGGCAGAUGAUCCGAUGGUCAAUAAGCAAAUCAUUUGUACUUUUUUUUUAUAUUAUAUCCAAGUCACGGAUAUUUGUCCUUUUUAUUUUAAAUUGUGUGAUAGGUACAAUAAGAAAUGUUAAAGUGUGCUAUUUGUGAGUAUGAGAAUAUGGAAUUCGACUUAAUAAAUAAAAAAAUUAUACUCUUGGAUGAAAAUAUAUAAAUUUAUCGAGCAUUUUCAUUAUCAAUAGUAAAAUUAUUUAUUAUAUGUUGUAAUUUAUAUAAUCAAAUAUCCGAUGAAAUUUUAUAUUCUUUUAAAAUAUUACAUUUUUUUUCCUCUUUCAUCUAUAUAUUGUCAUUUUUACGAGUUCUUACAAUGUGAAAAUAUUGACUUUAAUAGCGUGACCGUAUCGUAAUUCAAAAUUAAGCUUAACUAUUGGGGAAAGAGAGCCAACAAUUGAUAUGAAAAGCUUUGUCUCAAAAGGUGCAGCCUUAGUAUUGAAUGUUAUAAAUGUGUAUGGUGGAAGGAGAGCCAACAAAUAAACAGAUGUUGAGCCUCUGCUGAAAUUAGUAAUUAGGUGGAAGGGGUAGAAUUCAAAAAAUUCUAAACAAGUUGUGACAACAAUACUCAAAUAUUCCUAACUAGUCAAUAAUUGUUUAUAGACAUAUUUACAAGCAAUAUAUAUACAGAUUCAAAUAAAAUACAUUCACAACACCUGCAAGGUUAAGAGAGAGACCUAAGUGACAACCUAGGCAUUAAGAAGCCAUUAAUUUUGGCAUUCUCAAUGUUAGCAACAAUUAGAGUGAUAAGUGUCUAAACAUCCAUCAAAAUCAUACACCAAUAUUGAACAAGUAUGACUAGUCAAGAUAACCAGAAUCAACAUUAGAAAUAUUCGCCAAGAAACCCACUAUUAGGAAAAAUUAGGGGUCAUCAUUAGAUUAGGAAAUCCACUAAACAAAGAAGAUUAUUAUAGGAAAAGGUUAUUACACGCUCAAGAAAUCCUAGAUCUAUUUAGAAAAACAACUAUACCUUACUGGGCACUCCCCCUCUCUCCCUAAAAACCCAUAUGAAAAAUGUAAACUAAGAAAGUUAGUAAUUCCAGGCCAAUCCCAACCUUUUGGGUAAAAUUUGGCAGGUCAAAGGGACACUUGGUAGCCAAUGGUUGGACUUAUAAAAAGCAAAAUUACGUGUCUUGAUUAAAAAUCUUGUGCUGAAAAUAUUUGGCAUGUAUGACUAGUCAUCUGGACAAAGUAUUUUGAUGCAGAUGCUAAUUUUUUCUAAUGAUGUCCAUUGUAAAUGAAUGUAUAAAUUACUUUGGUUUUGUAGCCACAUAAGCUCUUCAAUGUACUUCAACUUCCCCUGUAGCAAAUACCCAAGUUCUAAUUUCUAAAGAUGAGCCAAGAUGAAUUAUAUGAAAUUGCCCAUUUGACAAGGAAAUCCAAUUUUAAUAAUUCUAAUAUUAACAUCUGCAUUUAGUAUUGGUGUAUUUAUAGGCGUUAAAUAAAAGGGGGCUUUAGUUUUAAAACACAAUAUAGUUUACUAAUUUGGAAGAUAGUAAUACAAUUUCAUCUAAUUAGCAUAAGGCAAAAGACCAAAUUGUGGUACCUAAUUUUACAAAAAUAUCAUUAAAACAUAUCAAAAUUACACAUAAUGCCACUCCUUCUAAGGCAAGCAUACUAUGCCACAUGUCCAUAUCUAGCCAAUCAUAUCUCGCCGCCGGCCACCACUGCCGGAAUCCUGCCGCCGGCCACCACUGCCGGAAUCCCGCCGCCGGCCACCACCGCCGGACUUCGGCCGCCGGCCAUCACUGUCGGACUUCCGCUGCCGGCCACCUGCCACAACCACCGUUGGCCGCCACCGCCCGUCGCCGACCACCAUCGUCGGACUCCCGCCGCCGGCCACCUGCCACCACCACCGUUGGCCGCCAUCGCCUGCCACUGUCUGUAGAUGACCAACUCCGUUGCCCUUUAUUCACCUUUAAAAAAAAGAUUGUGUCAUUAAAUGUACUCGAACCUUGACCCUCAAAGGAGGAAGGCUCACUCACAAACCACUACACCAAACUUGAUUUUGAAAUAUUUAUUCAAUUAUACAAUAUUUAUAUAAACAAUCAAUGGUUUAUCAAAAAAAAAGGAAAAUUAGGUAUUAGACAUAAUUAUCUUUACUAAUUAGUAUUUGAGACAAACAGUAUUUCUGUUUUGAUUUUAAUACCAAGGAAUUGAAUUUUGUUUGGAUUUGGCCAAAGUGGAGACCCAAAUUCGUUGGCCCACCUUACAUUAAUCACUGAAGGGACAAUUAUACCCUUUUUAUUUAAAAGCCUGACCUAAAUUCAUUGCUCUCGCUCUCUCUCUCUCUCUCUCUCUCUCUCUCUCUCUCUCUCUCUCUCUCUCUCUCUCUCUCUCUCUCUCUCUCUCUCUCUCUCUCUCUCUCCGCAGCAACAACGACCACAUCGCCAUGAUCUGCGAUCAUCGAUCCAAGAUCGAGAGGUCGAUCUGCGAUGGAACUCUCAAACUGCUUGACCCGUGGCUCAUCCCUUUGACAUUCACCGACGACUCCAAGGUCUUCUAGCUCAAGAUGAAAGACAUUGUGAUUGCUAUCUUGCCGAGUUCAAGAUUGAUUGACUUACGGCUCCCUUCGAAUAACAAAGAUUAGAACAUCCAAGGUUCCAAUCUCCAGUUUUCGUGUAAUGUUUUUUUGUUAAUUGCUCAGAUCUUGUGAUAUUAUUUUCAUAUCAGACUUCACAUCAAUGUCAAGCCCUGAUAAUCUUAUGACUUGUGUUUUUCUCUCUCUUUGUGAAGCUUAUGAAAUUUGUUAUUUUAAGAAAUAUUGAACUGAUAUGGAUGCACAUUUAACUAGUGAUGUUACUUUUGUAUAAUUUUUUAUUUCUAUAGAAUUUCAGUCUUGUUUGUGGUUGGUGUUUUCUAUCCCUUCCACAUGUUCACCUCACACCUUUUAAUGAGAUUAUCCUUUUCUUUAGCCAGUAAUGGCUAGUCAUUGCUCUGAUAAGUAGGGCUCUUAAAGUGUAUCUUCGGGUACAGUUAUAUAUGAACUAUCACUUCCUCUUCCAAUUUGCUGUCAUUUCUUUUAAGUGAAAGUGGCUUCUCAAUUGGUCAUUUGUUUCUAUGAAUUGCUUAUUAAUUUUGUAUGUAACCUUCAUGUUAGAUUUUGCACGUUUGAAUUUUCAAGGCUUUUACGCUGCAAUCUUGGAGAAAGAUGAUUGUUGAUAUCUGUAGCAUCAAUCAAGUAGUACUGAAAUGAAGCUGUUUGUAGGGAGUCGAUUUUCCAGUUUUUCGUGUAAUGUUUCUUUUGUUAGUUGCUCAGUUCUUGUGAUAUUAAUUUCAUAUCAGACUUCACAUCAAUGUUUUGAUCUAUUGUUUAACUCUCCACCAUGCAUCCUUACUAUUUUUGUCGUUGAUAUCUAUUGUCAAUGGCCUUCAACCUCACCAAUUUGAAGAGUAGAGGUUACCCAGAUGAGGAAUUGGGUGGGCAAGAGAAGAGUAGAACUACCCAAGAGCAAGAUAACUCAAAAUUGGACUUUUGGAAACUGCUUUGCAGUUUUCAUUUAAUUACAAUUGGAUUUUUUGCUCUUUCCUUGGUAGAGAUACAUUGGAGGUUUUGCCCCGUAAUCCAUAGGUUGUUGGUUAUUGAGUUGUUAAGCUAGUGUUGAUUUGAUUCCCUUCUCUUUGUACUUGUGGAGUUUGCUAUCUAAAUUAUUUAGUUUGCAGCAAUGCAUAUUUCAAUUUUGUUUUGUUUCUAGCUAUAUUUUCAAUUUCGACCUGGAAACUUGAGAUCAUAUUGCGGUUCUUAGGAUAGAGAUGCUUGUUGUUUAUGACAUCACUGUCAUAUGAUAUUUUGCAAUACCAUUUAAGUUUUAGUUCAGUAAAAUUUUAUACAGGUUCUGCAUUAUAGUUUUGCACAAACUACAUUGCAGUUUCAGAAACUGCAUUGUAGUUUUGGAAACUGCAUUGCAGUUUUUGUAAUUACAAUUGGAUUUUUGCUCUUUUCUUGGCCUUCAAUCUCACCAAUUUGAAGAGUAGAGGCUACCCAUAUGAGGAAUUGGGUGGGCAAGAGAAGAGUAGAACUACUCAAGAGCAAGAGAACUCAAAAUUGGACUUUUGGAAACUGCAUUGCAGUUUUCAUUUAAUUACAAUUGGAUUUUUGCUCUUUCCUUGGUCUUCAACCUCACCAAUUUAAAGAGUAGAAGCUACCUAGAUGAGGAAUNNNNNNNNNNNNNNNNNNNNNNNNNNNNNNNNNNNNNNNNNNNNNNNNNNNNNNNNNNNNNNNNNNNNNNNNNNNNNNNNNNNNNNNNNNNNNNNNNNNNNNNNNNNNNNNNNNNNNNNNNNNNNNNNNNNNNNNNNNNNNNNNNNNNNNNNNNNNNNNNNNNNNNNNNNNNNNNNNNNNNNNNNNNNNNNNNNNNNNNNNNNNNNNNNNNNNNNNNNNNNNNNNNNNNNNNNNNNNNNNNNNNNNNNNNNNNNNNNNNNNNNNNNNNNNNNNNNNNNNNNNNNNNNNNNNNNNNNNNNNNNNNNNNNNNNNNNNNNNNNNNNNNNNNNNNNNNNNNNNNNNNNNNNNNNNNNNNNNNNNNNNNNNNNNNNNNNNNNNNNNNNNNNNNNNNNNNNNNNNNNNNNNNNNNNNNNNNNNNNNNNNNNNNNNNNNNNNNNNNNNNNNNNNNNNNNNNNNNNNNNNNNNNNNNNNNNNNNNNNNNNNNNNNNNNNNNNNNNNNNNNNNNNNNNNNNNNNNNNNNNNNNNNNNNNNNNNNNNNNNNNNNNNNNNNNNNNNNNNNNNNNNNNNNNNNNNNNNNNNNNNNNNNNNNNNNNNNNNNNNNNNNNNNNNNNNNNNNNNNNNNNNNNNNNNNNNNNNNNNNNNNNNNNNNNNNNNNNNNNNNNNNNNNNNNNNNNNNNNNNNNNNNNNNNNNNNNNNNNNNNNNNNNNNNNNNNNNNNNNNNNNNNNNNNNNNNNNNNNNNNNNNNNNNNNNNNNNNNNNNNNNNNNNNNNNNNNNNNNNNNNNNNNNNNNNNNNNNNNNNNNNNNNNNNNNNNNNNNNNNNNNNNNNNNNNNNNNNNNNNNNNNNNNNNNNNNNNNNNNNNNNNNNNNNNNNNNNNNNNNNNNNNNNNNNNNNNNNNNNNNNNNNNNNNNNNNNNNNNNNNNNNNNNNNNNNNNNNNNNNNNNNNNNNNNNNNNNNNNNNNNNNNNNNNNNNNNNNNNNNNNNNNNNNNNNNNNNNNNNNNNNNNNNNNNNNNNNNNNNNNNNNNNNNNNNNNNNNNNNNNNNNNNNNNNNNNNNNNNNNNNNNNNNNNNNNNNNNNNNNNNNNNNNNNNNNNNNNNNNNNNNNNNNNNNNNNNNNNNNNNNNNNNNNNNNNNNNNNNNNNNNNNNNNNNNNNNNNNNNNNNNNNNNNNNNNNNNNNNNNNNNNNNNNNNNNNNNNNNNNNNNNNNNNNNNNNNNNNNNNNNNNNNNNNNNNNNNNNNNNNNNNNNNNNNNNNNNNNNNNNNNNNNNNNNNNNNNNNNNNNNNNNNNNNNNNNNNNNNNNNNNNNNNNNNNNNNNNNNNNNNNNNNNNNNNNNNNNNNNNNNNNNNNNNNNNNNNNNNNNNNNNNNNNNNNNNNNNNNNNNNUAUCUCGCCGCCGGCCACCACUGCCGGAAUCCCUCCGCCGGCCACCACCGCCGGACUUCCGCUGCCGGCCACCUGCCACCACCACCGUUGGCCGUCAUCGCCCGUCGCCGACCACCACCGUCGGACUCCCGCCGCUGGCCACCUGCCACCACCACCGUUGGCCGCCAUCGCCUGCCACCGUCUGUAGAUGACCAACUCCGUUGCCCUUUAUUCACCUUUAAAAAAAAGAUUGUGUCAUUGAAUGGACUCGAACCUUGACCCUCAAAGGAGGAAGGCUCACUCACAAACCACUACACCAAACUUGAUUUUGUAAUAUUUAUUCAAUUAUACAAUAUUUAUAUAAACAAUCAAUGGUUUAUUAAAAAUAAAUAUAAAUAUAAAGCAUUUCAACACUUAUUCACACAAAAACUGCAAAUAAAAACAGAAACUGCAACAAAAAUAUAAUGUAGAUAUCAAUUAUGUUAAAAAAAACAAAAACAAAAACGAAAACAGCUACAAAAACAAUUGUAAUUAAAUGAAAACUGCAAUGCAGUUUCCGGUUUCCAAAAGUCCAAUUUUGAGUUCUCUUGCUCUUAGGUAGUUCUACUCUUCUCUUGCCCACCUAAUUCCUCAUCUAGGUAGCUUCUACUCUUUAAAUUGGUGAGGUUGAAGAUCAAGGAAAGAGCAAAAAUCCAAUUGUAAUUAAAUGAAAACUGCAAUGCAGUUUCCAAAAGUCCAAUUUUGAGUUCUCUUGCUCUUGAGUAAUUCUACUCUUCUCUUGCCCACCCAAUUCCUCAUCUGGGUAGCCUCUACUCUUCAAAUUGGUGAGAUUGAAGGCCAAGUAAAGAGCAAAAAUCCAAUUGUAAUUACAAAAACUGCAAUGCAGUUUCCAAAACUGCAAUGCAUAUUCCAAAACUGCAAUGCAGUUUCUGAAACUGCAAUGUAGUUUGUGCAAAACUAUAAUGCAGAACUUGUAUAAAAUUUUACUGAACUAAAGCUUAAAUGGUAUUGCAAACUAUCAUAUGACAGUGAUGUCAUAAACAACAAGCAUCUCUAUCCUAAGAACCGCAAUAUGAUCUCAAGUUUCCAGGUCGAAAUUGAAAAUAUAGCUAGAAACAAAACAAAAUUGAAAUAUGCAUUGCUGCAAACUAAAUAAUUUAGAUAGCAAACUCCACAAGUACAAAGAGAAGGGAAUCAAAUCAACACUAGCUUAACAACUCAAUAACCAACAACCUAUGGAUUACGGGGCAAAACCUCCAAUGUAUCUCUACCAAGCAUAAAAAAGUCACAAAUAAAAGAUAUCAUGAAAAUGUAAAGUAGUUACUAGUCAAAACCCAGGCAUCAAAAUUCUGUAAACCAGUAAAGAAUCACUGGUGAAACCCAUAGAUAAAUGAAGGUGUCAAAUAGCAGUAAACAUCUAGCAUGUAAUAAAAAAAUGCAACAAACAGAAACUUCAAUGCAGUUUAUGAAAAAAAUAUGCCCAAAAGUGAAAAGAAACCAAAAGGCAAAGCCAUGAUCAAAGUACUAAAACUAAUUUCAAAACACAUAUAAGUAGAUGAGCAGUUGUAAUAUUCCCAUAGACUUGGAAAAAUUAUUCUAAAAUCGAAAUAUGGAACAGGAAACUGCACUGCAGUUUCUUAUCAAAAAUUGCAACAACGGAACUAUAAUGCAUUUUAUGACAAAACAUCUGCCCAUGUUUGCAUAGAAACCAAAUGGCAAAGCCAUAAUUAAAGUACUAAAACUCAUUUCAAAGCACAUUUAAGUCGAUGAACAAUCAUAAUAUUCCCAUAGACUUGCAAAAAUUAUUCUAAAAUAGAAAUAUGGAACAGGAAACUGCCCUGCAAUUUCUGAUCAAUCUACUACAACACUAACAAAACAACAACCCAAAAACUUCAUGAAAACAAGCAUUGAAUGACAGUUGCAAAGGAAUAUCCACUAAUGAAACAAUUGCAUAAUUUUCAUUAACUUCAAAAAAAUACCUCAGCAGCAGAAAAAUUGAGCUUCACAUCAAAAUUUGAAUAAUGCAAUAGAAGAAGAAGAUCGAAAAAUAUACUGCAAUUUCUAGAAAAAUCAAAAGUUCUCGUAUGUGCAAAGAAAACUGAUGAGACCUUAUAUGUACAAGUAAAAUAACAAAUUUUAAAUUUUUUAAAUUUUAAAAUCCAUAAAUUAAAUAAAAAUCAUCCUUAGUGGCAUCACUUACAUCUACGUUGCAUACAAAAGAAAAUAGAAGAUAAAAAAAAUAAUAAAGCAGGUACAAUCAUCAACAAGCAGCAAUCAAGAACUUAAGAAAAUACAAUCAUCAACUAGCAAAAAAUUCUAGUAAAAUAAGUACAAAAAUAAUAUAUGAAAAUUUCUACUAAAAAUAAAUUAUAUAUGGAAAGCAUUGACAAAUUAGGGAUUCACCUUCUGAUUUGCUUUAUUUCUUCUUGCAAUCAUUUCAUGGCUUGAAAUUCCAAGUACUUUGUAAUAUGAGAGAGAUGGUGUGGCGUGGAGUGGAGAGGAUCAGAGAGAGCACACAUUUUGACCUUGGCAAAGGAAAGAAUAAGUUGUAAAGAGCGAAGAAACAAUUUGGGCAAAGAAAAAAAAUAAUCAAUUUGGCAAAGAAGAGAAUAAUCAAUUUGGGAAAAGGAAUGUUGAACCUUGGUUACCUGGGAGAGGAGAGCACGCCUUCUUGUUUGUUGGGAACUUGGGAGAGGAAAACAACCUGUUGGAAACUUGGGAGAGGAGACCAACGUCUUGUUAGGAACAAAAACUCUGCCUACAACCAUCUUGUUUAUCUUGAUCUCCUGCAAAGAGAGGCCAAAGAGAGAUGAGGAGGCUGUGGAGUCGGCGAGGUCGAUGACCUAAACUCUCGUGAGGUUAACCUCAACUUCCAGCAGAGAGAGAUUGAUGAAAGAGAUCUAAUUUUGGUCAGGUUUUUAAACAAAAAGGGUAAAAUUGUAUUUUAACUUUGUAAUUUAGACAGGCCAACGAAUUUGGGCCUUCUCUUCGGCCUAAUCCAAAAUAACAAUUCUUUCUUAGGUAUUAAAACCCAAACAAAAAUACCCAAUAUCUCAAAUACUAAUUAGUAAAGUUACUUAUGUCUAAUACCUAAUUUUUCUUAAAUAAAAUCAUGAACUUUCCUCUCCUUUUUUUUUUUUUUUUUUUUUGAGCGGAUGUACUUUCCUCUUUUGUAAUAGUUGACUGCUACUAGGAUUAUUCUCUAACCGUAUGUAAAACUUCCUAUAGUUACAUCCUGUAUAUAAUGUAUUUCAUACAUAAAUCAAAUCAUUGAGGAAUUCAGCCAAAUCUUCUCUCUUCUUUACCCUUCUACAAACUCCAAUGAGAUAUUUUGACAGCCUGUGCGAGUAUUAUGUUUAAUGGGGCCUCAAGCUUAAAAGUAGGAUUUUAAUUUCAUAGUUUAUUAGCCAUGUGUUUUGCACCUGCAAUAGCGUAAACAUGAUUAGCCCCAUGUGGUUCUUAUUACAAUGUUUAACUAUAGUCACGUGUUUCAAGAGCUGAAUAGUAUUAGCUAAAGUUGUUAUAGCUUAAAAUCUAAGGACCAAUUUUUGUUUGGGUACUUACUGUUUCUAUAGUUUUUCUAGAAAUAUAUUAAAGUACAGAUUGGGAUAAAAUAGUAAAAGGUUGAGAGUUAAAAUCAUGUGUUUAUUAAGAGAUUAUUUUAUUAAUUGAGCAAACAAAUUAAAUAUAAUAUGAUUAUAUGCCUACAAAAAUUGAGUAGACAAUGGGUUACAAAACUACAUUUGAGUGGGCUACUAAGUUUUUAUAGGAUGAAUAACAUUAAAAUAUAUGUAAUAUAUUUUAAUUUGAUAAAAAAGCUACCUAUACCUAGUUCCGCCCAUGUUCAAGUAGACAAAGUGAUCUUCACACACUUUAAUCCUUGACCAAAUAUACUUAUGACUAGUCAACUGUCAGACAUGAAUCACCACAAACAAGAACAUACACAGGGCAUAUUAAUAUGUACCUGCAAGCCAAGAGAAUUACUAGUGACAACCUAAGCACUCAGAAGGACCCGUCAAUCUAUGCAUCCUUUGUGCUAGCAACAGCUAUGGUGAAAAUGUGUGAAGGCUUCAUAAUUAAGUAAACACCAAACAACAGAAAAUGAUGACUAGUCAACCGCAAGAACACAAACCCAGAAAUACAUGAACAUUAUGCGAUGACUAGUCAACUGUCAAGAAUAUAAACCUAGAAAAUUACAGAGAUGCAAACCAUAAAUUGUUCACCCAAAAACCCACCAUUGGGAAAAAUUGGGAGUCAUCAAUAGACUAGGCAAUCCACUAAGCAAAAAGAUUCUUACAAAUAAAUACUAGAGCAAGCUCAACAAAUCCUAAGUCUAUUUAGGAAGAUGAGCUAUACCUCCUUUGUGCAAUUUUUGACUUUUAUCAAAAUUCCAAAUUUAUUUCCCUUAUCCAAACAUACCACAAGAGUUAUCAUUUUCGAAAUUGUGUAAAAAAUAUAUUGAUGAUGUGAUGAUGUGAUAAUGUAAAAUAUUUGUUUGUCAGCUUUAUGCAUAUUAUUAUUAUUAUUAUUAUUAUUAUUAUUCCUUACGAAAAAACGAUGAUGUUCUUAAUUAUUGUUUUUGAUUUACAGACAAUGAUCGUUUUAAUUUUUAACUUGUUUUGGAUUUAAUUUUUAAUUCAGGUGCCCCUAUAAAUAUGAAGUGAAGCUAGAUGAGGUGAAGAUGCAAUUAGUUAAUAGACAGAUAUGGCAAAUAUAAGGUAUAUCCAAAUCUUGGUCUUUGCCUUGUGUUCAAGCCUUCUCAUUAUCACAACCCAAAGCCAUGGCCAUUCUGGGUUGCCAAAAAGACAUGCACCUCUUUUCAUACUUGGGGAUUCAGUCUUUGAGGCUGGAAAUAAUAACUACUUUAACACUACAGCCCGGGCAAAUUAUAAGCCAUAUGGUGAAACCUACUUUAAGUACCCAACUGGGAGAUUUUCUGAUGGUCGUCAAGUUCCAGAUUUUAUUGGUAAGAUAUGAAUCUUUUUAUUUUUUAAAUUUAUAUUUUUAUAAAGAUAUAUAAAGAUAUAUAUAUGAAAUAUGACUAGACAUUACUUUAUAUUGUUGCAGCUCAGUAUGCAAAGUUGCCACUGAUUCCACCAUAUCUACAGCCCGAUUUGCAUGAUCUUUCAUAUGGUGUCAACUUUGCAUCUGCAGGAUCUGGUGCUUUGGAUGGAACUCGCCAAGGAUCGGUAUGUGACAUAUUUGUUUCACGGUUACGACUAUUGACAUAAUGUGAUUCACUAACCAACUUCUUGAAAACUAUAUGAUCUCCUGUCCAUAUGGAAAUGGUUACUUACUAUUUUUCAUAUAAAAUACAUCAACUACUUCUCUUUUAGAUGGAAAUCAUCGCUUUGAACCUUGUUUCAGGUGAUAAGCCUUAAAACUCAACUGUCAAAUUUCAAGAUCGUCAGGAAGUCGUUGAGGAAAAAACUAGGCGAUGAAAAAGCCAAAUCUCUGCUAUCAAGAGCUGUUUACUUUUUUAAUACUGGAAGCAACGAUUACCUUUUCGCAUUCGACACAGACCCAACUGUGCUCGGAUCCUACUCUCAACAGGAAUAUGUAGACCUGGUGAUAGGCAACAUGACUGCAGUGGUCGAAGUAAUGAAAUCUUAGCACUUCAAAAAAAAAUGAAAAGAAAAUCCUUUUAUGCAUAUUACUAAUAAACAUUAUUAAUUUCGAUGUCUUGUUUUAGGGAAUCUAUAAAAGAGGAGGAAGAAAUUUUGCGUUGCUUGACCUCUGGCCUAUGGCUUGUCUUCCAUACGGAAGAGGAACACUUCAAAAAAAAGGUGCUUGCUUUGACACAAUUACACCAUACGUGACACUACACAACAAAGGACUUGCCAAUGCCCUACAAAAGCUGGAGAAGAAACUCGAGGGAUUCAGAUACUCAUUCAUCAGUUCUAAUGAGUUUCUGACAAAAAGAAUGAACAACCCUUCUAAAUAUGGUAUUAAUUCCUUCGUUAUACAUGGUUUUGAUGUCAUUAAUUAUGUUAAUUACUAUUUAUUUAAGCGACCAUGUUUUUGUUUUGUGAUAAAAUUUUUGGAAAAUUGUAAGGUUUCGUGGAAGGAAAGGUGGCAUGCUGUGGAAGUGGUCCAUAUGGAGGAAUUUUUAACUGUGGAGGAAUGAAGAUUUCAAAAAAGUAUAAUUUAUGCAAGAAUGUUAGUGAAUAUGUCUUCUUUGAUUCUUCUCAUCCAACCGAGAGGGUCUAUGAACAGUUUGCCAAGAAAAUAUGGAGUGGAAAUUCCAUCACUGCGCCUUACAAUCUGAAAGCACUAUUUGAAAAUUAGCUGAGGGGAUGAUCCGAUGGUCAAUUAGCAAAUAAUUUGUACUUUUUGAAAGAGAGACAACAACUCAUAUGUCAAGCUUUGUCUCAAAAUAAGAUGCAGCCUUUGUAUUGAAUAUUAUAAUUGUAUGGUGGUGGAAGGAGAGCCAACAAAUAAACAUUAUUUCAUAUGGUAACGUUUUGUUAACUUUGUCUCAAAAGGUGCAGAGCCUUAUGGAUGGGCCUGUCACCUGUGAGCGUCUUUGCGACAUAUCUAGAUGGGCACCAUGCUUUUGGUUUAGGAGAGAUUCUGGAGAUAGCAAAUUAUUAUCUCUAGCUAAUAAUGCAAUAAUAUGUGGGAUAACUUUUUUACUUGUCAUUGUGUUAUUGAUCUUUGGUACAAAUUUUUUUUUUCCAUGCGUAUCAAGUGCACCUCAACUCUAUGCAAUAACGCAGAAUUUAACACAAAUAAUUGUCUAAACUACUCUAAAUUAAUUUGAGAGAUUCGAACUUAAGUGCAAAAUGGUUGGCUCACUGCACUGGCCACUGGCAUUACCCCACGAGACCACAUCUGCUAUAUAUAUCUUCAAUUUUAAAAGAAUGAAGGACAUAAGCUAAAUACAAACACAUAGAAUGCAAUGAAAAAGAAAAGUUCUUUGAAUCAAAUCUGAAUAAUUGUAAUCAAUCCCAAAAUAGCAUUAAUUAGUCCUUGCACUUCCCACAUCAAAUCCAAUCGAGAUCUUUUGACAGAGGUGGAGGAUUCUUUUUGAUGGAAGCAACAAGCUUGAAAGUAUAGGAUUUUAAUUCCAUAGUUUAUUAGCCUUUUUUAUUUUUUUAUUUUUUAUUUUUGGUUCUCUCAACAACGUGGCUGUGGAUCUCAUCACAGUAUUUAAUUAGCCAUGUGUUCCAGCAGGUCGUUAUUGUAAACCUGAUUAAUUAGUAUUUAUAUGGACUUAUCAUUUUGGACAUCAGAAGUUGUGAUCAUAAUGUAAAAUAUUCGUUUGCUUUUCGUAUAUUAUUAUUCCUUACAGAAAACGACGAUUUAUGCACAUUUUGAUCCUUUAAAUUUUUUUAAACGGGAGAUAUAGUAGUUGUUUACUUGUUUUGGGCGGCAAAUUUUAUUUUAUGCUCUGCCUUGAGAUGCCCCUAUAAAUAUCAACUGAAGCUAGAUGAGGUGAAGAUGCAUCUAAUCUAAUAGAUAGAAAUGGCAAAUAUCCAAGUCUUUGUCUUUGCCUUGUGUACAAGCCUUCUCAUUAUCACAACCCAAAGCCAUGGCCAUUCUGGGUUGCCAAAAACACAUGCACCCCUUUUCGUAUUUGGGGAUUCUGUCUUUGAGGUUGGAAAUAAUAACUACUUUAAUACUAGUUGGCAGGCAAAUUAUUCGCCAUAUGGUGAAACUUUCUUUAAGUACCCAACUGGGAGAUUUUCUGAUGGUCGUCAAGUUCCAGAUUUUAUUGGUACGUAGAAAAUUUGAUAUGAGUGUUUUUUUAUAUACAUAUCUGAAAUAUUACUAGACAAAUUUAUUGUUGCAUUGCAGCUGAGUAUGCGAAGUUGCCAUUGAUUCCACCAUAUCUACAGCCCGACAAUCAUGAAUUUUCAUAUGGUAUCAACUUUGCAUCUGCUGGAGCUGGUGCUAUGGUUGAAACUCGCCAAGGCGCGGUAUGUGAAGUGUUUUUGCAAGAACCUGGGUGCAUCUUAAGUUAAAGUUGUCGAAAAGACAGGUUUUCUGGGUUAGUUGAGCGAUUUGAGUUUAAUAUUUAGGGUUCACGGUAUUGCUAAUUGACACAUAAGUCUACCGAGCACAUAAUGCGAUUCGCUAAUGUGUCGUACUGACUUCUUGAAAAUUAUGAUCUCCUGUCCAUACGAAAAUGGUUACUUAUUAGGUUUACAUCAACUAUUUCUCUCUAUGAUGUAAAUAAUCACUUUGAACCAACCUUGUUUCAGGUGAUAGGCCUUCCUUCUCAACUGUCAAAUUUCAAGAUCGUUAGGAAGUCCUUGAGGAAGAAACUGGGCAAUGAAGAAGCCAAAUCUCUGCUAUCAAGAGCUGUUUACUUUUUUAGUAUUGGAAGCAACGAUUACAUUUUCCCGUUCGACACGGACCCAAGUGUGCUUGGAUCCUACUCUCAUCAGGAAUAUGUGGACCUGGUGAUAGGCAACAUAACUUCAGUGGUCAAAGUAAAUUCUUAGUCCUUGAAAAGACACCCCCCCAAAAAAAUAAAUAAAUAAAAUCCUUUUUAUGCAUAUUAAUUACUAAUUAACAUUAGUUUCGAUGUCUUGUGUUAGGGAAUCUAUAAGAAAGGAGGAAGAAAUUUUGCGUUGCUUAACCUCUGGCCUAUUGCUUGUCUUCCAUACGCAAGAGCACUUAAAACGGAAAAAAAAGGUGCUUGCUUUGAUGAGUUUACACCAUUUGUGAAACUACACAACAAAGCACUUGCCAAAGCCCUACAGAAGCUGGAGAAGAAACUCAAGGGAUUCAGAUACUCAAUCUCCGAUUUUAACGAAUUUUUGACACAGAGAAUGAACCACCCAUCUAAAUAUGGUAUUAAUUCCAUCUAUAUAUGCUUUGUUUUCUUAAUGAUCUUAUUAAUUAUACAUGGUUUUGAUAUCAUUAUACUAAAGCAACUAUGUUUUUGUUUUGUGAUAAAUUGUUGGAAAAUUGUAAGGUUUCGUGGAAGGGGAGGCGGCAUGCUGUGGAAGUGGUGUAUAUGGAGGAAUUUAUAACUGUGGAGGAAAGAGGAUUGCCAAAGAGUAUAAUUUAUGCAAGAAUGUUAGUGAAUAUGUCUUCUAUGACUCUGCUCAUCCAACCGACAGGGUCUACGAACAGUUUGCCAAGCAAAUAUGGAGUGGAAAUUCCAUCACCGCGCCUUACAAUCUGAAAGCACUAUUUGAAACUUAGCUAAGUAAGAUUAUUGUAAAUGCACAGAUGAUCUGAUGCCCAAUAUAAAUUUGUACUUUUUGAUCCAAGCCACGGAUUUUUUUUCUCUUUGAUCUUAAAUUUUUGUGAGAGUUAUAAUAAGAAUGUUAAAGUGUACCUUUUGUGAGUAUUGAAAAUAAGGAAUAAUUUCCACACAAAAAAUUUAUACCCUUGAAUGAAGAUAUAUAUAUUUGAGCAUUUUCACUUGUAUACUGUCAACUUCAUGGGUUCUGACAAUGUUGAACCAGGUUGAUAUCAUAUUAACUGCAAGAUUGUAAACCUGAUUAGUAUUUAUUGUCUUGUUUUGCCAAAUGGUUAUUAUUUUAGGUUUGCUCAACCAGGCUGUUUGUGGAUCAUGACAGUAUUUUAUUAGCCAUGUUCAACCAGAAACCGGGAUGUCAUUAUGUCAUAGUUUAUUAGCCAUGUGUGUUUAGAACGGAGGGAGAAAUUAUGAAAAAGGAUGUCAUCACAUACACUGGCAGAUGCAGAAAUUUUUUAGCGGAGAUGCAAUACAGAGAGUGAAAGGACCCACCCCGAAUUUUCCAAAGCCCGAGGUGAAUCCUGUGAAAAUUCCCGACAUCACCCCGAUGUCGGGCCCACUUCUAAAGUUAUACCCUUUUUUCCAAAAUGGAAUAAGGGUACGAGACUUUCUGCCGAAAUUUCGACAGAGUCUCCCCUGUAAAUUGAACAUUUCCCAAAAUUACAACUUGCAUAAAAAUACAUUUAAUAUCCACAACUGGCAGCAUGCACAAUAUAAUUUCAUGCAAUUCACAUAAACGGCCUUCGGCCUUCCAAUAAUUCUCAACUACCAAGCAUGUUAGCAAAUCAAUUCAUGCCUUAAACAAGGCAACCGAUAAAUUCAAAUAUAAAUUACGACUACUAAAUCUCAACAUACAUCAUCUAACUUUUUCAAUUUCAACAUACGAGGUUUUAACCUCCUAACACAAUCACAUCUAUGUCCGCGGCUGCACCUAAUAACCUUAGGCUGCCUACGUACCCUCCCUGAGGGAUCAAACCACACGUAGUUCUUCCUUAAAACCCAAUUCCACACAUAAGCAAUAUCUUAUUUCAUUUCUCUGUAUUUCACAUAAUCGCCGGUACUACCAACGCCACGUAUGAGGCCUGUCAACACGCCGGAUAACCUACGCCACGUGCGACCAUACAAUACUAUCACAAUAUCUCCUCAUACGCCAGUACAACCAACGCCACGUAGGGGCCUGUCUCAACACGCCGGAUAACCUACGCCACGUGCGACCAUACUAUACUAUCACAAUAUCUCCCCAUACGCUGGUACAACCAACGCUACGUAUGGGGCCUGUCAACACGUCGGAUAACCUACGCCACGUGCGACCAUACCAUACUAUCAUAAUAUUUUCCCAUAUGCCGAUACAACCAACGUCACGUAUGGGGCUUGUCUUAACGCCGGAUAACCUACGCCACGCGAGACCUGAACAUCAUAUCACAAUAUCUCCCCAUACACCGGUACAACCAACGCCACGUAUGAGAUCUGUCGACACGCCGGAUAACCUACGCCACGUGCGACCCCAACAUACUAUCACAAGAUCUCCCCAUACGCCGGUACAACCAACGCCACGUAUGGGGUCUGUCUACACACUAGAUAAUCUACUCCACGUGGGACCUAACUUUCACAGGGUGGUACUUGUAGUGUAACCAAAAUCCAGGGAAGUACCUAUGAUAGUACGUAUAACACUUCAAACUGACAUUCUAGACACCUUUUAUACUUUUACAAACGUAUAUAAAUAUAUAAUUUACUUCUAAUAUUGUGUAAACCUCAACAAUAGUCUAGCACCCGAUAAUUCCCCUGGGAAGGUGAGAUUACUCCGGGAGACUCACGGUCAACCAAGGGUCAAACUACCCUAACCCUGGUCGAACGGGCCCAUGGGACCCACGACCUCCAAAUUCCGAUCCGAAAGUUCCUAUGGGUUCUACGAGGGAUAGGACACUCGUCCUGCAAGUUUGGUCCAGAUCGGACGGUCAGAUCGCUCACGAUCGCACGAUCUGACAGUUAUUAUAAAACAUAAACUUUAAAUUAUUAAAUCGGAACAUUUGGGGCUCCGAUUCACAAUCCUUGAAUUCCUACAUGAUCUUAGAAAUACUUAGAUUAACAUAUAUUAAAUUUGAGACCAUCCAACGGUCCUAACCUAUAGAACCCGAAUGACAUGCAAUAGGCGAUAUCCGUUCGAUAGUCAAACGAUGUCCGAAUUGAGAUCUGCAAAAUCCUACGCACUCAUGAUAGCCUAAGGAUCUCAUCGAGACACAGUGCAACUUCACUACCCCCGCCCACGCGCCGCUACACCCGCCGGCAGCGCUGGGUGCCCAGAGCGAUUAUGCAUCACCGGAAAAUCUCAAAACCACGGCUCCAAACUCCUACCCUAGGCAUAACACCCUAUUUGGAGCCAUUUUUGUUCUUGGACCUACCCCAAAAACUGACCGAAAGUGGACGGAAUCGCAAUCCCAAAAUCGACCGAAUUUCAAUUCGAAAAUCGAAUUACCUACGCUAAGAAUCAAUCGAAUCCUACACAACAAGCAGCUAGAGCAUGAAGAAUGGAUGAAUUUCCAUACCUUGAUUGCCAAGCAAAAUCAAGCAAAAAAUCUCAUUUUUCUGGCGGCUGGAGCGGGCGGGGGGAUGUUCAGGCGAGGGGCUGGGUCGUGACGCCGAGGCCAAGCAGAUCCUUUUUGGCAUCGGUCUUGUCCGCAGCCGCUGCCGGUGGCUGGAGAUUCGAGGAGAGAGAGAGAGAGAGAGAGAGAGAGAGAGAGAGAGAGAGAGAGAGAGAGAGAGAGAGAGAGAGAGAGAGAAAUCUGAUUUUUUUAUAAAAAUUCCAUUUUGAAAUAAUUACGAUUGUGCCACUGGGUUUCUUUUGACCAUAUCUCUCUCGUUACAACUUCGAUUCGAGCCCACUAUGUGUCUACGAACUCAUCUCAGUACAACCUAUCCAAAAAUACUAGUCACUGCCCCAAACUCUCUCUAGGUAAGAAAAUGACCAAAAUAUCCCUAUCCUAAGGGUAAAUUUGUAAUUUUACUUAAAUAAUUUAAAUAACGGGUUAAAUUUGGAGUCGGGGUGUUACAUAGAGAGCUAAAUAAGAAUGCUUUAGGCCCCAUUCUCUGCCCUCAUAGUUUUGUUUAUGGGAACUCACGAGUAACUUCCCAGUGGGUCACCCAUAUUGGGAUUGCUCUAGCUCCAACUCGCUUAACUUUGGAGUUCCAAUGACUCCGAAGUCAAUGAGCUCCCAAAAGGUCUCGUGCUAGAUGGAGGCGGGCAUGUACAUAUAAGGCACAUCACCAUUUCUCCGUUGGUUGAUGUGGGAUGUUACAAUCGAACCCCCUUAGGGGCCCGACGUCCUCAUUGGCACACUCGCACCACAUUACAUAGUGGCUUUGAUACCAAAUUGUCACAUCGCGGGAUCGGAUCUGCCGUAGCAUGAUGUUGUCUCCUUUGGCCCCCCUCUCUGCUCUCAUGGUUUUGUUUUUGAGAACUCGCGAGCAACUUCCCAGUAGGUCAACCCAUCUUGGGAUUGCUCUAGCCCCAACUCGCUUAACUUUGGAGUUCUCAUGACUCCAAAACCAAUGAGCUUCCAAAAGGCCUCAUGCUAGAUGGAGGCGGGUAUGUACAUAUAAAGCACAUCACUCAUUCCCGGUUGGUCGAUGUGGGAUGUUACAACAUAUAUAGUGAAUGGGCUUGUAUGCCUCCUAGAAUUAUAUGGUUUUGUGUCCCUUAAGAUGUGAACAAACAUUGACUUAAGAGUCAGAGUAUUUUCUUGCAGGGUACCUGCCUUUUUCCUCAUUGGUGGCAAAUGAUGAAUAGGAGAACUCUCUAGUCAAAUGUUUGGUGGCCUAAAAACAACAUAGAUUGCCAAUGGGUUCCCACCACAGUGGUGAUGGAUUCCCCCUCCCCCUAUGGUACUCAAGAUAGAACCCCAGUGGUGUUUCUUUCUUCCAAAGUAACCAAAAAAAAAAAAUAUGGAUUGGAAUAUGUCUAAUCCUACUAGGGCCAAAUGUACUUAGUAGGAUUAUGAAUCCUAACAAAAUGUUGGGAUUAAGUUGGAUUGGAUUAUAUCUAAUCCUUCUAAGCCAUGUAAUAGCACAUUUCAAUUAUCCAACCCUUUAAUCAUGUGUAGUACCAAACACAUCAUUUGAUUAGUGUUAUCAUUUCCAGUCAAUUGUAAUCCAAUUAAUCCAAUCCAAUUUUACCUCAUAUCCAACCCCAGUCACCAAAAAUAAUCCUAGACACCAAGGAUUUUAUACUAUAUGUAUUAAAAAGGUUGAGAAAAAGGCGAGCGGCAGGGGCAUCUUCAACCCCUAGGGGAAGUUUUAUUUCAUAGUUUAUGAGCCAUGGGUUCGGCAACUGCAAUAAUGUAAAGCGUGAUUAGUAUGUCUUUUAUUUUUUAGCAAGGGUUUCUACUAUAUUUUAGUAUUUUUGAUUGACGUAUUGGUUGAGAAUCUAUUCUAUUGCCAUUCGUGUAUGGACAAGAAACUUUAACACAAUCUAUUUUUUAGCUAGGGUUUCUACUAAAUUCCAGGGUCACAGCUGUUCUGACUAAGCCCAAUAUGUGCAAUAAAGUUUCAGCCAUCUAUAAAGCUAAACAUGAUACAAUACAAAGCAUAACAGAACUACGAGCUAGAAUGGCAGCUAUCAGGUUUCAAAUCUAUAUCUUGGCUUUCUGUGCAGGCCUUGUUAUUCAAAGCAGCUGCUGCAAUGGCCAUUCUGGGCUUCAGAAAAAACGUGCAGCCCUGUUCGUCUUUGGUGAUUCACUAUAUGAUGCCGGAAAUAAUAACUACAUAAACACUACCACUGAUUUCCAGGCAAGUUGGUUUCCAUAUGGCGAAACAUUCUUCAGGUACCCAACUGGUAGAUUUUCUGAUGGGCGUACUAUCCCAGAUUUCAUUGGUAAGAAUAAUUCUGGGAGUUCUAUUGUUAUUUUCAACAUCACACUUGUUUCAGUCAUUUCUUGAAAGUUGAAACAACUUAAUUUAGUGCUAACUCAAAGCCACUGAUAAUACAAACACAUUACAUUCAUGUUGCAGCUGAGUAUGCUAAGUUGCCAUUUAUACCAGUAUAUUUACAACCAGGGCUCAACGACUAUACUUAUGGGGUGAACUUUGCUUCUGGUGGAGCUGGUGCUCUAGUUGAAACCUAUCAAGGAUCUGUAUAUGUUCUGGCUUAUCAUAUAUUUUCCAUUAUUAAGACGUUUAGUUACAGUUGCAGCAUCUGAAUAUGUAUUUUCAUCGUGUGAGUAAUUCGUGUGCUUGUCCAUUAGCAAGACUUGUUUGUGUGAUCUCUUUUUUUUUUUUUUUUUUUUUUUUCUUUCAGGUGAUGGACCUUAAAACUCAAAUGAGUCAAUUCAAGAAGGUGGAGAAGCAGUUGAGACAGAAACUAGGUCAUGCAGAAGCCUACACAUUGGUAUCCGAAGCUGUCUACAUAAUCAACAUUGGAAACAAUGAUUAUGUUUCCCCAUUAGCAACCAAUACCAGCCAUGAAGAAUAUGUUGACUGGGUUAUUGGCAACCUGACAAGUUGGAUAGAAGUAAUAAUCAUAACUUUUAUUUUGGAUAAGUAACUUCAUCCAAAAUUAUGAAUCCGGAAAGAUCUUUUGGAUGAGUAACUUGAUAUACAUUUUGUCAGGAUAUAUACCAGAAAGGAGGAAGGAAAUUUGCACUUUCAAGCUUGGCACCUUUCGCUUCUAUGCCACUCAUGAGAACAACUCAACCAGCAGGAUCCACCGCAGGCCCUUCCAGGAAAGAAGUUGCAGCACUUGUGAAACUACACAAUAGAGUACUUGCUAAAGUCCUCCUAAAGUUGAAAAAAGAGCUCCAAGGAUUUAAAUACUCAAAGCUUAAUCUCUACACUUACCUAAAGGAAAGAAUUAAUCAUCCAUUAAAAUAUGGUAUGCAUAGCCAUGGCAUGAUGGCACCUUCUCUCUCCUCUGAGUUAUAGUCUCUUUUUAAUGUUCCUUUUGUUUUUAUUGUGUUGUAAAGGUUUCAAGGAAGGAAAGAUGGCGUGCUGUGGCUCUGGUGCAUACAGAGGAAUUUAUUCCUGUGGAGGGAAGAGAAGUGUGACUGAGUAUCUGUUAUGUGACAAUGCUACUGAGUUCGUCUUCUUUGACUGUGCCCAUCCAACUGAAAGGGUUAACAAGCAAUUGUCCAAGUUAUGGUGGAGCAAUAACUUGAAGGAGCUAUUUGAAGUUUAGACAAAAUGUGGCUCGAUACUUUCAUAAGCAAUUGCAGACCCAAUUUCUGUUUCGAAAUAAAUUAAAAGUUUGAUAUGUUACCCGUUAUUUAAGUAUUCGUAACUUUCUCAGAGAUGUUUUUGCUUUUUCCGAAAUUAAUAAAGCCUGUAAGACAUGAAGAAUAAAUACUAAUAAAGCCGGUAAGCAAAUUGUUAGAGUUAUUGUCUUGUUUUGACAAAUGGUUAUUAUUUUAGGUUUGUUAAACUAUUUGUUUGUGUUCAGAAAGGAAGGAUAAAUUAUGAAAAUAAGGAUGCCAUCAUAUAUAUAUGGGGCCAAUCAACAUAAAAAUAAUAAUUACCAUUUAUUAAGUAAUAUAAUGUAUGAAGAUUAUUAAAAUAUUUAAUUAUUCACUAAAGAAAUAAUAAUUAAAACAUAAUUACAAAUGAAAGUAAGUAAAUAAGGCUAAGAUAUUAUUUAAUUAAUAAAAAAGAAAAUUCUAAAAAGGAUAUUUUAAGCGUAUAAUAGAGUAUAGCAGCGGCUAUACUCUAUAAAUAGAAUAUUUUAGCAGUAUAGCCGAUCGGCUAUACUAUAGAUUUUAACCGUACCACCGGGCGGCUAUAGUCUUUAAAUAGAAUAAUAUAAAAGUAUAGCCCCGCGGCUAUACUCUAUAAAUAGAAUAUUUCAAACGUAUAGCCGCUCGGCUAUACCCUUUGAAUAGCAUAAUUUUCAUUUCUCUUUUCUAAUUACUUUAUUAAGUAGUUAUGUUUUAAUUACUAUUUACUUAGUGAAUAACUAGUAUUUAAAUAUUUUAUUAAAUAAAAAAAUUAAAAAUAAUAAUUACUGUUUAUUAAGUAAUAUAAAUUAUGUAGUUAAUUAAAAUAUUUAAUUAUUCACUACAAAAAUAAUAAAUUAAAACAUAAUUACAAAUGAAAAUAAUUAAAUAAGGCUAAGAUAUUAUUUAUUUACUAAAAAGAAAUUUUAAAAUAAAAAUUUGUUGGACCUAAAGAUACUAAACUUAUAUUUUUUUAUUUUUUUAAAUCUUUUGCCACGAAGUUUCAUCGGCACAGGUCUAUCCUGGCGAAAUUUUCCCAAUUAGACAUCUACCGACGACAUUUUGUCGGCUAGGAAAUUUCGUCGGGAGAGUUUUUUUUAAUUUUAUUUUAAAAUUAUAAAUUUUUUAAACAUAUAAAAUUAGUUUCUUUACUUUUAUUUUUUGGCCAACUUCUUUAAAUAUAUGCAAUUACGUGAAUCCAAGUCUCGAACCAAAAACCCAAGCUUCCGAAAUUGUUCCAAAACCUUUCUCAAGCCUCGAACCUUAACCAUAAGCUUACUAAGGAGUAGGUACUUUCUCUUCUUUUCUAAUGUGGGGCUCAAGUUCAUGUAUUUCAAUCAAAUUCCAACAAGCAGUUGAUAUUAUUGAAUCGCGUUGUGACUCAAAGUAAACUUGUCUUCUUUUUCACACAUACAUAACGCAUGAAAUUUUUUAAUACUAAUUUCUUCUUUUUCCGAUGAUUUGUUACAGUUCAUGUACAACUUUGUGCUAAAAUAUUAAAACUAUGAGAGAAUAUUUGUUUGUGGGAAUUUUUUGUGUAUUCUUCUCCUUGUAGGAGGUCAUAUUUAUAAUACAACGAAACCUGAAUGUGAAGUAAAUAAAAAAUUCCUAAAUCUAUUUGCAGUAGGAAAUCAGGAAUUAAAGUAAAUCAAUUACAAUUAUAAUAGGAAUUCUUGGUGUGUAAGGAAAGUAAGUCAAUAUCCACAAGUCACGCCAACACUCCCCCUCACGUUGGUGCAUAGAUGUCGCCAAUGCCCAACUGAUCUAGUGAAUUGUGGAAUGCUUUACUGAAAAUCGCAUUUGUCAAAAUAUCCGCCAAUGGAUCCUCGGAUUUCACAAAAUGCGCAAUCUGGUCCAUGUGUCGGGGUCGUUAGUCGAGAAGUCAUAAUCUGUGCAGCGGAAGAUGCAUAUGAUACAGUUGAGUAGGAAUUGGGAUCGGAAUAUGAGCCUGAGUCGAGGCCGGAGUCAGAGUUGAAAUCGGGAUCAGGGUCUAAAUCAGAGCCAAAUUCGGGGUUGGGGUCAUCAUCAGAGUGGGGGUCGGGGUCGUCUUCGGAGUUGGGGUCGGGGUCGGGGUCGAGGUCGUCUUCGGAGUCGGGGUCGGGGUCGUCUUCGGAGUCAGGGUCGGGGUCGUUGUCGUCAUAGUCAGAGUCGGGGUCGGGGUCGUCAAAAGAGGAUCCUGAUUCUGGAUUAGGUUCGGGGUAAAAGUCUGCAUCUAUAGGAGCGGAGCCAUCUGGGCACUCAACUCAACGAUGGUUGGUGGAGAAUGAGAGAAUGAGUCGGUGGUGCUACCUCUAUGAGGGUUGAAAAAAUCAUCAACCCCCAUAACACUAAAUAAAAUAAUCUCUAUUACAAUAGGACAAAAUAUAAUUGGUAAGUAACCAAAAUUCUAAUGAAAUAAGGACUCGCCAACACUCCCCCUCAAGUUGGGCAAAGAUAUUUCGCAGGCCCAACUUGACAAGCGAGUCACAGGACACCAUACUUGAGAAACACCAAUUGUAGAGAAGAUCUUUUAGUCAACCACGAGUGAAACAAGUGACAAACUAAAACAAAGUUCACAGCGGAAAUACAAGAGCAAACCCUAAAAAAUAGGGCACAUAGCAAAACACAGAAACCCUGUGAGCACGGGUGUAGAUAAGGCAGAACACAGAAACCCUGUGAGCACGGCAGUAGGUAAGGCAGAACACAGAAACUGUGUGAGCACAGCAAUUGAUAAGGCAGAACACAGAAACCCUGUGAGCACGGCAAUAGGUAAGGCAGAACACCGAAACCCCAUGAGCACGGCAGUGGCAACAAUAAAUUCUUCCAUAUAAACUUUAGCUAAUUCACUCAGACACAACUUCUCUUCAAUCUUCCUCUCCCCUUGAAGAGAAGGGGUCGUCGGAGUCAAGAAAUAAGCAACAUCUUCAUGGAAAUAUGUCAAGGUAAUUGGGAUAGGUCAAUAAACAUAUCCCUUUCACUCCUCCUCCCCCCCCCCCCCCCCUUCAAGGGGGGAGAAGAGCACUUAAAUUUCAAGAAGAACACAAGCACAGGUCCCUAGAUCGAACUAGGCUCUGAUACCAUGCUAAAAUAUUAAAACUAUGAGAGAAUAUUUGUUUGUGGGAAUUUUCUGUGUAUUCUUCUCCUUGUAGGAGGUCAUAUUUAUAAUACAACGAAACCUGAAUGGGAAGUAAAUAAUAAAUUCCUAAAUCUAUUUGCAGUAGGAAAUCAGGAAUUAAAGUAAAUCAAUUACAAUUAUAAUAGGAAUUCUUGGUGUGUAAGGAAAGUAAGUCAAUAUCCACAAGUCACGCCAACACUUUGUUCUUUGGAUUAUGAAUCCGGAAAGAUCUUUUGGAUGAGUAACUACAUAUGCAUUUUGUCAGGACAUAUACUGGGAAGGAGGAAGGAAAUUUGCACUUUCAAGCUUGGCACCUCUUGCUUCUGUCCCAAGCAGAAGAGCAAUUCAAGCACGAUACACAGGCCCUUCCAAGAAAGAAGUUGCAGCACUUGUGAAACUACACAACAGGGUACUUGCCAAAGUCCUCCUAAAGCUGAAAAAAGAGCUCCCAUGACUGAAAUACUCAAACCUUAAUUUCUACACUUACCUAAAAGAAAGAAUUAAUCAUCCAUCAAAUUAUGGUAUACUUUCUGUUAUUUGGUUUUUUCAUACCCUGAUAAGUCAUGUCACCUUUCUAAUGUUCCUUUUGUUUUUAUUGUGUUGUAAAGGUUUCAGGAAGGAAAGACGGCGUGCUGUGGCUCUGGUGCAUACCGAGGACUUUAAUUUGGUGUAAUUACAUGUGCUGCUGUGCAUGCUAUAUACAUGGUGAAUAAGCAAAUUACUUUUACUUUUGGCUUGAAUAUUCGUCCUUCAUUAUUGUUUUCAAUCACUUUACGUAUGUGGUUAGCGCAGCAACUGUAUAGACAUUUCAAAGUCUGUGGGCCCUCUGUAUGACUCCAAGAAACUUCAUUGUACUACACAAAUUUCCGAUGGUUUCUUUUUCCACAAGCAAAUCAACAAGACCUAUAUAUAGGCGUGAAACACAAGAGAAGGUUAUACAAAGCAAACCAGAACUAGAAUGGCAAGUUCAAGGCUUCAUAUAUUCAUCCUGGCUUUCUGUGCAAGCCUUCUUUUUCCAAGCAACUGUAGCCAUGGCGAUUCCGGGCUUCAGGAGAAACGUGCAGCGUUGUUCAUCUUUGGUGAUUCACUAUUUGAUGUUGGAAAUAAUAACUACAUUAAUACUACCAUUAGCUUUAAGGCAAAUAACUGGCCAUAUGGAGAAACCUUCUUCAAGUACCCCACCGGUAGAGCUUCCGAUGGCCGUCUAAUCCCUGAUUUCAUUGGUAAGAUGUUGUAAACAAUACUAAAAGUUUUAUAUAUGUUCUUCAACGCUAGUGAUCAUGCACAUCUCUGAUUGCUCAAUUUUCCAUUAAUGAUGCAGCUAAGUAUGCAAAGUUGCCAUUCAUACCACCAUAUUUACAACCUGGCUUCAACAACUAUACUUAUGGGGUGAACUUUGCAUCUGCUGGGGGUGGUGCUCUAUCUGAAACUCAUCAAGGAUUUGUAUGGGAUCCUCCUUAUAUAUCAGAAUUUUGAUUUUAGGUUUGAAAAAGCAUGUUGCAUUGUCCAUAUAUGGGGCUGUAGAAGGUGUGAAACCAAAGUUGAGGGCACCCUUUGGAAGCCAUGACUUGCUGACUUGAUCAAUCUCUUCUGAGGAGGGAAUCAUUGUCGCAAUGUUAAAUUCUAAAUGAAAAACCAUACAUUCUGUUUGGUGGACUCUGCCCCAAAACAGAGACUUCAAAAUGUGUACAUUUUAUCUUAAAAUAUUGUACAUGUAAUGAAGCAACUUCAUGUAUAAAUUAUAUAUUCUCUAUCUCUUUAUUAGCAUAACUAUAUAUUUCUUGUUUUCAGGUGAAAGACCUUAAAACUCAAGUGAGUUAUUUCAAGAAUGUCGAGAAGCAGUUAAGGCACAAACUAGGUGAUGCCGGAGCCUACACAUUUCUAUCAGAAGCUGUUUACUUGAUUAGCAUUGGAAUCAAUGAUUAUUAUACCCCAUUCCUAACAAAUUCAAGUUUGUUUGCGUCCCACUCACAUGAAGAAUAUGUUGGCAUGGUGGUUGGCAACCUGACAGAUGUGAUCAAAGUAAAUACAUUUAUGUCUACUUUCUCAAGAAUAUACAACACGCAUGAUUCGUUAAUAUUCUUCUUCUUUCUAAAUUUCGGAUGAGUUACUUCAUACACAUUAUUUCAGGAAAUAUACAAGAAAGGAGGAAGGAAAUUCGGGUUUGCAAAUGGGGUUCCUCUCGGUUGUAUACCUUCCAUGAGAAUACUUAAACAAGAAAACAUAGGUGCCUGCUCUGAAGAAGUUACAGCACUAGUGAAACUACACAGCAGAGUAGUUGCUAAAGGCCUCCUAAAGCUGAAGAGCCAGCUGCAUGGAUUCAGAUAUUCAAAUGCAAACUUCUACACUCCCUUAACUGAUACAAUUAAUAACCCAUCAAAAUAUGGUAUAUAUAGACAGAGAACCUCCUCCUUUAGUUUUGGCUUCUCUUAUUCGUUUUAAUGUUCCUUUUGUUAUUGUUGUUAUGCUGUUAAGGUUUCAAGGAAGGAAAGAUGGCAUGCUGUGGCUCUGGUCCAUACAGAGGAAUUAUGAGCUGUGGUGGGAAGAGAGGUUCAGAGUUUCAGUUAUGUGACAAUGUUACUGAAUAUGUCUUUUUUGACUCUAGCCACCCAACAGAAAGGGUUUACCAGCAAAUAUCCAAGUUAUGGUGGAGUGGAAGUCCCAAUGUGACUAAGACGAGCAAUAAUCUAAAGGAGCUGUUUGAAGUUUAGUUUCAUAAGCAAUUCUGCAUUUUGCAGACAAUUUCUGUUUCAAAAUAAAUUGAACUUUGAUGCAUCAUCUUUGUAAAUAAGUAUUCGAAACUUAAUAUACGUAUUUGAUGCUUUAUGUAAUAUAAAUCUUGGCACCAAAAUAAAUGAAGAAAAAGUUGUACUAAAUCCUGUAAGUCAGAACUAAGUGCCUAUACUUUAGUAGGCCAAUAGACAUUAAGCAAAUGAUGAAGGGGGUCUUUUCCAUAUUCUGUUUUCAGGUGAUUUUUUUAAUGUUCCAUAGAGGUCAAGAUCAUCAUGAAUGGGGGAAUUUAGAAACUUUAGGGCGUGUUUGAUAGGGAUGACUAUACUAGACUAGCAAAAUGCCUACAUUUCAUGUGCAUUCAAGGCAUAAUAUGGAUAUGUUGCCUAACUUGGGGGAAGAAUAGGGACUAUCUAUGAGAGGUUGAUGACUAAAACUUAUCCCCCCUAAUCCCCUUGAAAAUGGUAGGAUCCUGAGGGAUAAGUUUUAGUCAUCAACCUCUUAUGAUAGUCCUCCUUCAUCCUCCGAGUUAGACAACAAUAUCUAUAUUAUGCCUUGAUUGCACAUGAAAUGUAGCCACUUUACUAGUCUAGUCUAGUCUGAUCUUUCAAAAAAAACGAGGCCUAAAAUACCAAAACUAUUGCCUACACUAGCCAAAACUAACAAUACCAACAACACUAGCCUUUGUGAAGAAUUACAACUCAAUUAAUGUAUGUUUGGAAACCAAGAAAAAGAGAGAAAACCAAGUGAAGCAGGGUUCAAUUUCUUGCUUUUAUUAACCCAAACAAAGACGUACAUCAGAUUCAGUUAUAUAGACUACAGGUUAACCACAACUAGCUUAACAGAUCUCAAUCUCUAACCAUGAACUAACUCUGGUUUAGUUAGUUGAAUUACAUUGACUUUGACUUCUAGAAGCAUUGGCUGCUUUUCAUGAGAAGAUUCUUUGGAGGAAGGCUGCUGAUGAAACUGAAAUUGCAAAUUUUCCAUUUAUUGACUUUUAGUUCCCAAACUUUGCUGCAGCUAUUUUUUUUCAUUGGAUUAUGAAUGGUCAACUUAGCAAAAGUUUCUACUGUAUAAUCUAUUAUUUUGUGAUGUGAUGUGAUCGAAGCUAAUAAUAGCUGAAAACGUCUUAUCCAAGUUGAUAAUAAAGAAAAAAAUUUCUGACUGUAUCAAUGUAUCAUGCUAAGCAUCAACCUACUCUCAUUUGUGUCAUCUUUUUCCUUUUUAGUUGACUUUCCUUGUCUUUUCUUUAUGUUAUCUGGACCAGGAAGUAAUUUCCUUAUUAAAUUGAAUUGAAACAGAGAAAAAGAUGAUAUAAUGCAAAGUUAUACAGAACAUACUGGAAUGGCAUCUUUCAGGUUUCAAAUCUAUAUAUUGGCUGUCUGUGCAGGCCUUGUUAUUCAAAGCAGCUGCAAUGGCCAUUCUGGGCUUCAGAAAAAACAUGUAGCCCUGUUCAUCUUUGGUGAUUCACUCUAUGAUCCUGGAAAUAAUAACUACAUAAAUACCACAAAAGAUUUCCAGGCAAAUUGGUUGCCAUAUGGUGAAACAUUCUUCAGGUACCCAACUGGUAGAUUUUCUGAUGGGCGUUUAAUCCCAGAUUUCAUUGGUAAGAACCAUCUUGUGAGUAAUAUUGUUUCUUUCAGUCAUUUCUUCAAACACCUUUGCUUUUAACUGACAGCAACUGAUAAUACAAACACAUGAUACAACUAACUAUUAAAUUUACAUUCAUGUUUCAGCUGAGUAUGCCAAGUUGCCAAUUAUACCAGCGUAUUUACAACCUGGGUUGAAAGACUAUACUUAUGGGGUGAACUUUGCUUCUGGUGGAGCUGGUGCUCUAGUUGAAAGCCAUCAAGGAUUUGUAUAUGCUCUGGCUUAUUAUAUGUUUUACCUUGUUAAGACUUCUAGUUACAGUUGCAGCAUCUCAAUAUGUAUUUUCGGUAAUUCGUGUGCUUUUCGUUAGCAUGAUUUGAUUAUGUGAUCUGUUGUUUUCAGGUGAUAGACCUUAAAACUCAACGAAGUCAAUUCAAGAAGGUGGAGAAGCAGUUGAGGCAGAAACUAGGUGAAGCAGAAGCCUACACAUUGCUGUCCAAAGCUGUCUACUUAAUCAGCAUUGGAAGCAAUGACUAUUCUAUCCCAUUAGCAACCAAUACCAGCCAUGACGAAUAUGUUGGCUGGGUUAUUGGCAACCUGACAAGUUGGAUCAAAGUGAUCUUAUCUUCUUUUUCACACAUACAUAUCACGCGAAAUUUUUUAAUUCGAGUUUCUUCUUUUUUCUAUAACUUGUUACAAUUUGUGUACAACUUUGUGUCUUCUGAUUAUGAAUCCGGAAAGAUCUUUUGGAGGAGUGAUUUGAUAUACAUUUUGUCAGGAUGUAUACAAGAAAGGAGGCAGGAAAUUUGGAUUUUCAAGCUUGGCCCCUCUUGCUUCUGUGCCAAGCAUGAGAGUGAUUCAACCAGGAAACACAGGCCCUUCCGGGGAAGAAGUUACAGCACUUGUGAAACUACACAAUAGACUACUUUCCAAAGUCCUCACAAAGCUGAAGAAAGAGCUCCAAGGAUUCAAAUACUCAAAGCUUAAUCUCUACACUUACGCUAAAGAAAGAAUUAAUCAUCCAUCAAAAUAUGGUAUGCAUAGCCAUGACACCUUCUCCGUUACGUUAUAGUUUCUCUUAUUUGGUUUUGUCAUAAGCUGAUAAUUCAUGUCUCCUUUUUAAUUUUCUUUUUCGUUAUUACUGUGCCGACUCGUAAAGGUUUCAAGGAAGGAAAGGCGGCGUGCUGUGGCUCUGGCCCAUACGGAGGAAUUUAUACCUGUGGAGGGAAGAGAGGUGUGACUGAGUAUGAGUUAUGUGGCAAUGUUACUGAGUAUGUCUUUUUUGACUCUGUCCAUCCAACUGAAAGGGUUUACGAGCAAGUGUCCAAGUUAUGGUGGGGACAAAACUUGAAGGAGCUCUUUGAAGUUUAGGCAAAAUAUGGCCUGAUAGUUUCAUAAGAAAUUGAGCAAUUUGUCGACACAAUUUCCGUUUCGAAGCAAAUUAAAAGUUUGAUGGAGCCAUGGGCACAUGGGCAAGUCUCCAAGUUAAGGUGGAGCCAUACUCCCAAUGUCCCAGGGCCUUCUUUUAAUUUGAAAGAGCUACUUGAAGUUCAGAAACCUAUGGAUUUGUUAGUUUCAAUAAGCAAGCACCUGUGAAUUUGCACAGACAAUCUCAGUUUAAAAAUAAAUUAAGGUUUGAUAUAUCAUCUUUGUAUUAAUGUAUUCACAACUCAAAAAUAGAUGUGAUAGAUGUUUUCUGCACUCCAAUUCUUGAGACCAAAAGAACCAAAGAUUAAAUUCUACUCAAUCCUGUAAGGGAUCCUAUGGGGGGAAGAUAGAAGCAAAGCCAAGAACUAGGUGCUCUGUUAAGUAGGGCAAUCGAUCGACGUUAUGCAAAUGGUGAAGGUGGUCUAUUUUGGUUGCUUGUUUCUCAAUUUGCUUUGUUAUAUUUCCCUAGUUCCGGAGAAUUGCAGGCGAUUCUACUGAUGUGUACAAUAUUCCAUAGAGGUUAAGGUCAAAAUGAGCGAAGGAAAGUAAUAAUUUUGGAAAAUGACCUGGUUAAUUACAUUUAAAAGUUGUUAUUUGCUUUUUUAGAGGUUCUAGUGCUUUUUUAGAAGUUUUACAGGAUCAUCUUAGAAACCAGCUCUUCUCUCAAUUUAAAGAGGUUACAAUGUUUUAAACAUACAGAACUGAAACAGAGGAGAAGAUUGCUGGUUUGAUUGUUAGUCCUUCAAACAUUAUUUUCAAUCAUGUUUACAUAUAUGUGGUUAGCCUUCUAUUAUGGAAUUACAACACACUAAGAAGGACAUCAAACAUACUCAAAAACAUACUCAAUUAUGGAAAGCCUUCUAUGUCGAUGGGCCAUUCUUAAUCAACGUCUCACCUUUACCUGCUUAGAUAUCAAUACAAAAAGAAAUCAAUCAUCAGAAAAUAUCUCAACUUCAAAACAACUGGAGAAAAUCUGAGAUGUGUUUUAUAUGGAUUGCUAAAAUUUCAGAAAAGCUGGUGACCUGGUGUUCCGCAAGAAACAUUGACUAAUCUCACAACCUCUCAAAUUGGAGUACAUAUGCAUCGUAGUAAUGAUUUCAUUCAAGAACAACUUUUGCGCCAAGAGCUUUGAGCUUCUCUAUUAGUUGCUCUCCUUCUUCCUUUGAUAAUCCUUUCUUUAGCACAGAUGGCGCCUUCUCCACUAAGUCCUUUGCUUCCUUGCGGCCUAAGUCAGUGAAGCUCCUUACCUCCUUGAUCAGUUUAUUUUAGAAGCUGCCUCAAAUGACUCCAAUUUCAAUUCGAAGACAGUCUUUUCUGGUUUCUUCUCCUCUUUAGCUGCUGCUGGUCCCUUCAAUGCCAAUCCUAAUCCAGCAGCUCCUGGCUUCAUGACUCCUACAAUUGGUGGUUCCUUCAUUCCCUUUUUUGUGAAGAUGAAGGAGUAGAGCAUCAACAAGCAUCUCAAAGUAUUUGGAUGCAUUUGCUAUGUGCACACAUUCCAAAGGAGAAAAGACACAAGCUAGAAGAAAAAUAUGAAGUUGGUAUAUUCCUGGGAUACAGUAACCAAUCUAAAGGAUAUCGAGUCUACAAUCCCAUAACGAAGAAGUUCAUGAUAAGCUGAGAUAUUGAGUUUGAUGAAUCAACAUCAUGGAAUUGGGAGGAAGAAAAAGUUGAAAGAAAAAGUCUUACUAUAACACAACCGUGCAGAGAGAAAACUAAAGAAACUCCAGGUAUGACUCCUCCACCUACAACAACUUGUCCAUCUAUACAACAUGAAGUUUCUCCAGAACCACAACAAAGAACUAGAUCACUCCAAGAUAUAUAUGAAACUUGCAACUUCAUAACUAUAGAACCAGAAAGUUUUGAAGUUGCAGUAAAAGAAGAAAUCUGGAGAAACUCUAUGGAAGAAGAAAUCAAAACAUUUGAGAAAAACAAAAUGUGGGAGCUCGUUGAUCGCCCACAAGACAAGGAGAUCAUUGAGGUUAAAUGGGUCUAUAAGACCAAAUUUAAUCCUGAUGGGUCAAUACAAAAACAUAAAGCAAGGCUAGUAGCUAAAGGCUACUACAACAGCUGGGCACAAACUACAACGAGACAUUUGCACCAGUUGCAAGACUUGACACUAUAAGAGCACUGGUAGCACUAGCAGCUCAAAAGAAAUGGAGAAUUUAUCAGCUAGACGUAAAGUCUGCAUUUCUAAAUGGAGAGCACGAAGAAGAAAUACAUGUGGAGCAACCACAAGGAUUUAUUGAGUAAGGAGGAGAAGAUCAAACACUUAAGCUAAAAAAAAGCCUUGUACGGACUCAAGCAAGCACCACGAGCAUGGAACAACCGCAUAGACAAGUACGUCAUCAACGCAGGCUUCAGGAGGAGCAAAAAUGAGCCUACUCUCUACCCCAAAACUCAAGGUAACUCCGAUAUCUUGAUCAUCUCUCUGUAUGUGGUUGACUUCAUCUACACUGAAAACAAUGAAGAAAUAAUUCAAAAGUUCAAAAAAGUUAUGAUGAAAACAUUCGAGAUGAGUGACCUUGGGUGGAUGCACUACUUUUUGGGCAUUGAGAUAAACCAAGAAGAAGAUGGAAUCUUCAUAUGCCAGAAAAAAUACAUUGAGAAUCUAUUGAAGAAGUUCAAAAUGUACGGGUGCAAGACUGUGGCUACUCCAGUUAUCACCAAUGAGAAAUUAAGAAGAGAAGAUGGAUCAAGUACAACAGAUGAAUGAGUUUAUUGAAGUCUCAUUGGGAGCUUACUAUACUUGACAACAAAAAGACCCGACAUCAUGUACGCCACAAGCUUACUAUCAAGAUUUAUGCAAAAUUCAAGCCAGAUGCACUAUGGAGCAGCAAAGAGAAUAUUAAGAUACUUGCAAGGCACAAUUGACUAUGGCAUUUGGUAUAAGCCCACUACAGAUCCAAGACUAUUUGGCUACACAUACAAUGAUUGGGCUAGAUCGGUGGAUGGCAUGAAAUGAGGCUAUGCAUUUACAAUUGGGUUUGGAAUAUUUUCAAGGUCAUCAAGAAAAUACCGUGGCACAAUCAUCAACAGAAGCCAAGUACAUAGCAGCAACAAGUUCAGCAUGCCAAGCUAUAUGGCUCAGAAGAAUAUUUGAAGAUAUGGGAGAGUGCCAAACAGAAGCUACUGAAAUACUUUGCAACAACAAGUCUGCUAUAGCAAUGCCGAAAAAUCCAGUGUUCCAUAGUAGGACAAAACAUAUAGCCAUCAAGCAUCACUUUUUAAGAGAAGUCUCAGCAAACAAAGAAGUUGAGCUCAAGUAUUGUAAAACAGAGGAGCAAAUCGCAGACAUCUUCACUAAGGCACUUCCAAAACCAAAAUUCGAACUGCUACGAAACGUGCUCAGAAUAACAUAAAUGUGCAUGAAGGAGGAGUGUUAAACAUUAGCACAUUUGUGUGAUAAAACUAGAAAAUUCUAGAAUAAUUGAGAGAAUUACCAAGUAAAAGUUGGUUAACUCUUACUAGAAUCAUCCUAAUAAUUAUCUAUUGUAAUUAUAACUAGAAAAAUCUAGAAUUAAAGGACUAACUUGUGGCUGAAAAUGCUUUAGAUUUGUCCAAAGAAAAUUGCCGACAUAGCAUCUGUAUAAAUAACCAUGCAGCCCACUCAAAGUAAUCAAGCUGAAAACUACCAGUUGUUCUAUACCAGCUGUCUUAUAUCCAACAAGCCUUGUACCUUUCCUACUUCAACCAAUCAAAUAAAACUACUUUGUUACUUUGUUACUUUAUAUACAUUUCAAAAUCUGUGGCCACUCUGUAGGACUAAAAGAAACUUCAUUAGACUACACUAAUUUCCAAUGUUCCACAAGCAAAUCAACAACACCUAUACACGGGCAUGAAACAGAGGAGGUAAAUGUCAACAUUUUCAGAUACACGAUUUCAAGUAAAGGAGGCUGCAGCUAUUUUCUUUUCAUUGGAUUAUGAAUGGUCAACUUAGCAGAAGUUUCUUUGUGAUUCAAUUGAUACUGAAGACAAAAAAAUUCUCACUGUAUCUUUUUCUUUUUUAGUUCACUUUCCUUGACUUUUCUUUAUGUUAUCUGGAAUAGGAAGUAAUUUCCUUAUCUUUUCCUUAUCCCAAUAUGUGCCUUGAAAAGUUUCUGCCAUCUAUUAAAUUGAAUUGAAACAGAGGAAAAGAUUAUAUAAUACAAAGCUAAACACAACAUACUGGAAUGGCAUCUUUCAGGUUUCAAAUCUAUAUCUUGGCUUUCUGUGCAGGCCUUGUUAUUCAAAGCAGCUGCCAUGGCCAUUCUGGGCUUCAGAAAAAACAUGCAGCCCUGUUCAUCUUUGGCGAUUCACUCUAUGAUCCUGGAAAUAAUAACUACAUAAAUACCUCAAAAGGUUUACAGGCCAAUUGGUUGCCAUAUGGUGAAACAUUCUUCAGGUACCCAACUGGUAGAUUUUCUAAUGGGCGUUUAAUCGCAGAUUUCAUUGGUAAGAACCAUCUUGUGAGUAAUAUUGUUUCUUUCAGUCAUUAACACCUUUGCUGCUAACUGACAGCAACUGAUAAUACAAACACAUGAUACAACUAACUGUUAAAUAUUAUGAUACACAUGAUACAGCUGAGUAUGCCAAGUUGCCAUUUAUACCAGCAUAUUUACAACCUGGGUUGAAAGACUAUACUUAUGGGGUGAACUUUGCUUCUGCUGGAGCUGGUGCUCUGGUUGAAACCUUCCAAGGAUUUGUAUAUGCUCUGGCUUAUUAUAUGUUUUCCCUUGUUAUGACUUUUAGUUACAGUUGCAGCAUCUCAAAAUGUAUUUUUGGUAAUUCGCGUGCUUUUCGUUAGCAUGAUUUGAUUAUAUUAUCUGUUGUUUUCAGGUGAUAGACCUUAAAACUCAACGAAGUCAAUUCAAGAAGGUGGAGAAGCAGUUGAGGAAGAAACUAGGUGAAGCAGAAGCCUACACAUUGCUGUCCAAAGCUGUCUACUUAAUCAGCAUUGGAGGCAAUGACUAUUUUUCCCCAUUAGCAACCAAUACCAGCCAUGAAGAAUAUGUUGGUUGGGUUAUUGGCAACCUGACAAGUUGGAUCAAAGUAAUCUUAUCUUCGUUUUCCACACAUACAUAGCAGGCGAAAUUUUUUAAUUCGAGUUUCUUCUUUUUUCUAUAACUUGUUACAAUUUGUGUACAACUUUGUGUCUUCUGAUUAUGAAUCCAGAAAGAUCUUUUGGAGGAUUGAUUUGAUAUACAUUUUGUCAGGAUGUAUACAAGAAAGGAGGCAGGAAAUUUGGAUUUUCAAACUUAGGCCCUUAUGCUUCUACGCCAAGCAUGAGAUUUAUUCAACCAGGAAACACAGGCCCUUCCCGGGAAGAAAUUACAGCACUUGAGAAUCUACACAACAGACUACUUUCCAAAGUCCUCACAAAGCUGAAGAAAGAGCUCCAAGGAUUCAAAUACUCAACGCUUAAUCUCUACACUUACGCUAAAGAAAGAAUUAAUCAUCCAUCAAAAUAUGGUAUGCAUAGCCAUCCAUGACACCUUCUCCUUUUAAGUUAUAGUUUCUCUUAUUUGGUUUUGUCAUAAGCUGAUAAGUCAUGUCUCCUUUUUAAUAUUCUUUUUCGUUAUUACUGUGCCGACUCAUAAAGGUUUCAAGGAAGGAAAGGCGGCGUGCUGUGGCUCUGGUCCAUAUAGAGCAAUUAAUACCUGUGGAGGGAAGAGAGGUGUGACUGAGUAUGAGUUAUGUAACAAUGUUACUGAGUACGUCUUCUUUGACUCUGCCCAUGCAACUGAAAGGUUUUACGAGCAAGUGUCCAAGUUAUGGUGGAGCCAUAACUUGAAGGAGCUAUUUGAAGUUUAGGCAAAAUAUGGCUUGAUAGUUUCAUAAGAAAUUGAGCAAUUUGCAGACACAAUUUCCUUUUCCAAGCGAAUUAAAAGUUUGAUGGAGCCAUGGGCACAUGGGCAAGUGUUCAAGUUAUGGGGGAGCCAUACUUCCUAUGUCCCAGGGCCUUCUUUUAAUUUGAAAGAGUUAUUUGAAGAUCAGAAACCUAUGUAUUUUUUAGUUUCAAUAAGCACCUGUGAAUUUGCACAGACAAUCUCUGUUUAUAAAUAAAUUAUGGUUUGAUAUAUCAUCUUUGUAUUAAUGUAUUCACAAAUCAAAAAUGGAUGUGAUGGAUGUUUUCUGGAUUCCAAUUAUUGACACCAAAAGAACCAAAGAAUAAAUUCUACUCAAUCCUGUAAGGGAUUUUAUGGGGGAAAGAUAGAAGCAAAAGCCAAGAACUAGGUGCUCUGUUAAGUAGGCAUUUUGUGUAUAAACUCCCAAUAAUAAAUGAUUGCUGGUACCGUCUACGUCAAGCAUGAAAAAUAAUUUAACACGAAAAUAACUCUUGGUGGAUGAGAAAUGGUGAAAAUUUGUGUAAGAAUUUUAGAAUGAAAGUGGACGAGUUUUAGAUCCUCCAAUUUGUAGUAAGUUACCCUUUUUUUAGAGGUUCUAGUGUCUUUUCAAAGUUGUUAUUUGCUGACAAAAGUUAAUGAUCAUUGGGUCAUCUUAGAAACCAGCUCCUCUCAAAGGUUGCAAUAUUUUAAACAUACAGAACUGAAACAGAGGAGAAGAUUGUUGGUUUGAUUGUUAGUCCUUCAAACAUUAUUUUCAAUCAUGUUUACAUAUAUGUGGUUAGCUCAGCAACUAUGUUGUUGAGGUGGGCUACACUAACUGUGGUUUGAUCACUGAAGUUAACAUUUGUUUCCUUUUCGACAAGUAAAUCUCGAAAACCUAUUUAUGCAUUUGAAGCAGAGACAAAGUAAACCACAUUGCUAGAAUGGCAACUUCAAGGUUGCAAAUAUAUAUCCUGGCUUUUUGUGUAAGCCUUCUCAUUGCAAGUAGCUCUAGCCAUGGCCAUUCUAGGCACCAUAAAAAGCACAAAGCCAUGUUCAUCUUUGGUGAUUCCGUAUUUGAUGUAGGAAACAAUAACUGAAUGAACCCUACAACCUCUUUCCAGGAAAAGUUCUUGCCAUAUGAAGAAACCUUCUUCAGUUACCCAACUGGUAGAUUUUCCGAUGGCCUUCUAAUCCCAGAUUUCAUUGGUAUGACCCUUUAAAUACUAUUUGUUUAUAUCAUAUCUGACCAAGCAACUAGAAGCAAAUCUAAGCAAGGCAAAGAGUCCCACAUUGGAAUAUUACAAGAUGUGUAGACUCCCCCUCAUCUAUAAAAGGAGACCAUUCUCCACUUAGGGAGGGAUCUCUGGGCUGGACUUUAUCUUUAGUCAUGGGCUUCUCCCUUCUUCCCUUUAUAUUUGGGUUCAACCCCAUGUACAAAUGUAAACACAUACAUUAUUAUAGUGAGAAUAUACUUCCCCGUGGACGUAGCCCAUUCAUUAAGGGUGAACCACGUAUAUCUUGUCUUCUGUAUAUUUAUCACUUGCCCAAAUCCUCACACACUUGGUGAAAGUCCUCACCACCUUCACCCAUCAUCCAUCACACAUCAUCACUAAGUUGGGCUCAAAAGUGCCGAAUCAUUUUUGAGCGUCAACAGUUUGGCGCCGUCUGUGGGAAUCGACACAAGAAGCCUUUGUCGUUCUCCCUUCCUUCAGUGUCCUUCGGUACCCUUUCAAUCAUUGCCUUUUAGCUUAUCGUUUAGCACCAUAUAUGCAGAAGCCACCAUUGGAUCUCAAGGAACAAAUAUGCCGAAGACAUGUAUCUGCUGAAGCAACCCACCUUUCAGUCACUUUGAAGAGUCUCAAUUUGGGGGUGGCCUAAUAUUCCAAAUGCACCAAGGAUAUCACCAUGCAUGGCUUGAACAUGCCCAAGAAAAAAUUGCUCCAAUAUGAAGGAUGCCCACGUGCAUCCUCACCACAAGAUAAGAUUUCUCUUUUUAUAUAUAAAUAUUGUAUACAGGCAUGCAAUAUUUAAAUAAUUCAUUGCACAAUCCUAUUCAACAAAUAUGAAUAUUACAUAUGAAUAAUAGGAGCUGUCCAGAUUUGGUUACUUUGAAAAGUUCCAAUUUGGCAGUUGCCCAAUACUCCAAUUCACCAAAAUUAUUUUCUUCUUUCUGCAUGGCUUGCAUGGAGUACCCAUACUGAAGCCCACAUGCCAACCGAAUGGCAACCGCAGAAAACUCCACAUGCCUCGCACCAAGGUUGAUUGCUCAGAACCAUGUUCGGCAGCAACCAUACUUUGGCUUCUUCGGAAGCUUCAGAUCAGCAACUCUAGGAGCAGUUCCAAAAGCUCCCAAGUCUUCUGACUCAUGGUUGGUCUUUGUUCAAAACACUGAAUGGCACACCCAUUUGCUCAAGCCACCCAAGAGCCUUGAGAGACCACCAUCUCCAUGCCACUCGACCAGCCAUCGAACGGUAGCCAUGCCUCUGGUUUUCUCAAGACACCCACUUGGUCGAGGAUUCCGAACGGCACAUCAUGGCUUGUUGGAGCACAUGUGAACUCUCAGCCCUUUGAAGUGCACUAUGCGGGAUAUGCAUGAUGCCCAAGUCAAGACAACGGAGGCCACUUCUAAUUACAUGUAUGGGGCAUCUAUCUAUGGUACCGUGUGCAGGUCUGAAAGCUCACCAAAACUCCUUCGACAGACCUUUGCCGAUCGGCAGGAGCCUUGCCAAAAGCUGGAGCACACGGCACCUCCUCUUCCACAACCCCCUUGGAAAUUGCUGAACUGGAGAAGGCCCCCUUCUUUAUCAACCUUGCCGAAACAGCAACUUGCUGAGCCCUAGCAACUCUCUGAUCUUUGGCCCUUGCCGAAACUCACGUCACAAGAUUUCUCUCCUUUGGUCACGACCCCAACAACUCACACUUUUCACAAAGACCCAGCACCAUUGCCGAACGGCAAGAGCCAUGCUGCGAACUUGAGAGGCCCACAAAAAUCACAGUUUCAAGUCAAGCUUGCCGAACGUCCAAGAGCCAAGACUACGGCUGCCUUGCCCGGCUCACAAUCACAACAAACCACACCCUUGCCGAAGACUUGACCUCUUUAUAUUCGAACCCAAGCCACCACGAAGACCUUGCUGCUUGCCGAAGCAGCCUUCCUUCAGCAUAGCCAAUGACGAAGGUUCAAACACCUUGCCAAACGGUUGCUACGCAGCCCAAGCCAAAACCUCACAAGCCCUCUUGCCGAGGACACCACAGGCUCUCAAAAAUUUUCAAUCCACCCUUGCCGUUCGGCAAGGGCUGAGCAGAAGUAAAUGCUUGUUCACAAAAAUAGCAAAGGACCUAGCCGCCAUGGAAGUCGGACCCUCCUUUGCCAACGCUAUUAUGCUCUGAAGCCCCCUUUCCGAACCAGUUUCUAUGCCGAACGGUACGUUCUGUGCAGAUGGUGUUAAGAGCUCAAAGGCCACUGAGGAUACUUGCGAUCCUUGUCGAUCGGCAGAGUCGCUGAGCGUGGCUUGGUACUUGAAAAGUCUUCUCCCACCUUACCGAGCAGUCUUGGUUCACCCAAGAGAAACACAAAGGCCUCAAAAAAAAAAUUCACACGACCCUUGUCGUUCGGCAAGGGCUAUGCAAAAGUGGCGGAGAAGCUAGCGACCCUCCUUGCCCUUGUCAAAUCCAUAGGCUCCGAACGCCAAAAGCAAAAAACCCAAGAUUAUUAGCCAUCGGCAAUAGUCAUUGGUAAAAAUAAAAAGUCCAAGAUUAUUAGCCAUGGGCAAUAAUUAUUGGUAAAGAUCAUCGGCAUAUACGCCAAAAGAAAAAAUCCAAGAUUAUUAGCCAUCGGCAAUAACAAUUGGUAAGUUUGUUCUACAAGCUUCAUCAUUAGGCGCGAGCGAUGCCUUCGGUACCCCCGCCAUCAUUCGAUGAGAGCGAUGCCUUCGGCACGCACCCUGUCAUCACUCGACGAGAGCGAUGCCUUCGGCACCCUGCCAUCAUUCGGCGAGCCUGAUGCCUUCGGCACCCGGUCAUCAUUCGACGUGGGUGAUGCCUUCGGCACCCCGUCAUCAUUCGACGAGAGCGAUGCCUUCGGCACCCCGUCAUCAUUCGGCACUCUGCCAUCAUUCGACGAGAGCGAUGCCUUCGGCACUCCGUUAUCAUUCGGCGAGCGUGAUGCCUUCGGCACCCGGUCAUCAUUCAACGUGGGUGAUGCCUUCGGCACCCCGUCAUCAUUCGACGAGAGUGAUGCCUUCGGCACCCCGUCAUCAUUUAGCGCGAGCCAUGCCUUCGGCACCCCAUCAUCAUUCGACAAGAGCGAUGCCUUCGGCACCAUCCAUACCACACUACUUGGAAGAAGACUAAGGUGUUGCUCAGUCAGUGCAUUGAAAAUUACAAGUCCUCAACUAAGAAGUACCUCCUUACUUGAGAACUUAGGGGACUUCUGUUUAUACCAUAUCUGACCAAGCAACUAGAAGCAAAUCUAAGCAAGGCAAAGAGUUCCACAUUGGAAUAUUACAAGAUGUGUAGACUCCCCCUCAUCUAUAAAAGGAGACCAUUCUCCACUUAGGGAGGGAUCUCUGGGCUGGACUUUAUCUUUAGUCAUGGGCUUCUCCCUUCUUCCCUUUAUAUUUGGGUUCAACCCCAUGUACAAAUGUAAACACAUACAUUAUUAUAGUGAGAAUAUACUUCCCCGUGGACGUAGCCCAUUCAUUAAGGGUGAACCACGUAUAUCUUGUCUUCUGUAUAUUUAUCACUUGCCCAAAUCCUCACACACUUGGUGAAAGUCCUCACCACCUUCACCCAUCAUCCAUCACACAUCAUCACUAAGUUGGGCUCAAAAGUGCCGAACCAUUUUUGAGCGUCAACACUAUUGUUAGAAUUUAGGAGGUGUGAUGUGUGUUGCUCUGAUACUAUUGUUUAUGUGUGAAGGGGUUUAGGACAAUAGUUGAACAAAGUGAUUUUAUUAUAUUUGAGGAGAAUAGUACAUGGCUUGGUGUAGGCUGAUUGGCCUUCUUUAUAGCUUAUUGGCUUAUUGACCACCACACUUGGUUUAGAUUAGUUUUGGGCUAUUUGGCCCUUCACUGAGAUUGGUCAGCUUAUUGGCUCCCUAACAUAGGUAGCUUUGGGUAGCUCUUGGCUCCCUUAUAGUUUGGGAGUUCUUUUCGUUGGACUCC